rnacentral:lncRNA from 1 species
UUUAUUGUAAACUAAUUCCUCUAAUGCACUAUUAAUUAUAUAAUUUUCUUAUAAAAUAUUGUAAAACAAUUUACACAUAAUAUUUCAUAGUUAAAAUAUUUUCAAAUUAAUUGAAAUAUUUUUAAUAACGCCAUAUAAUUAAUUACUUAUAUAUAUAUAUAUUGACAUUAUACAUUUAAGGUGAUUAAUUUAUAAUGGUAAAAUAGUAAAAUAGUUAAAGUGUAAUUAAUUAUUUAAAAUUUUUUAUGAAUCAAAUAAUUUCUCUUAUUUUUUCAACAAUAAGAUUACAUUAAUUUAACAUAAAAGAUGAUGAUGUGUCAAGUAAUGAAACUAUUCUCUUAUCACAAAAAUAACUAUGUCACGCAAACAAUUUCUUUAUAUAUUUGUAUACAUUAAAAUAUAUAAUAUAUAUAAUUAUUGGAAUAAUUAUAUACAAUUUUGCUACAUUGAGUGUUGUAAUAUUUGAAGAUGAUUUUGUGUAAUUUUCUAAAUAAAAAUUUAGUUUUAAUACUGAUACCAAUGUGGUAUUUAGAUUUAUUUAUUCUGUUAAAUAUGUACAAUAAAUCAAAACUAAUGCUUCAUCUUUAUAAAAGUAAUUAAAUUAAAAUUUUAUACUUAUAAUUACAGUAAUUAAAAUUCAUGUGACCAAAUCAGAAAAAAAAAUAUUCAUAUAUUCAUAAAUUAUAUGCGAGGCCUUUGAAUUGUUUUGUCUCAUUCUCUCAUUUAACCCCAUAAAUUCACCAUGAUUCUAAACACUCAAACCAUCUCCAAGUACCUUCUUCCUCUAACAAUGGCUGCCAUCGUCUCUCUUUUCGCCUUUGUUUUUGCCAUUGUUGGUCUCUCUAAUCUUUCCAUUAUUCAAGCUCAAAAGGAUGGUUUCAGUGUAGAAUUAAUCCACCGUGACUCUCCAAAGUCUCCCUUAUACAAUCAUUUAGAUACUACCUACAAUCGUGUAACCAAUGCCUUGCGUCGUUCUUUUAAUAGAGUUCAUCGUUUCAAACCGACUUCUGUGACAACAAUGGAAGCCGAAGUCGAUAUUAUGGCAGAUUCGGGUGAAUACUUGAUGAAUAUAGCAAUUGGAUCCCCAGCUUUUGAUAUUUUCGCCAUUGCUGAUACCGGGAGUGAUCUUAUUUGGACUCAAUGCAAGCCUUGUUCUCAGUGUUUCCCGCAAAACGGCCCUCUUUUCGACCCCACCGCAUCAUCAACAUAUAAAAAGUUUUCUUGCAGAACAAGUCAAUGUGGGGAUGUUGAAGGAACAUCUUGUUCAAGAAACGGCUCAUGCCAAUAUUCAGUCUCUUAUGGCGAUGGAUCUUACUCAAAUGGCGAAGUUGCUUCUGAUACACUCACCUUGGAUUCAACAACGGGUAGUCCAGUCGUGGUUCCAAAUGUUAUUAUGGGUUGCGGACGUGAUAAUGAUGGAAGCUUCGACGAGAAUACCUCUGGCAUCAUUGGCCUUGGAGGUGGAGACUCUUCGUUGAUUUCCCAAUUGGGAACUACAGUUGAUGGCAAAUUCUCCUACUGCUUAUUGCCCUUUUCCGAAGCUGGAAAUUCAAGCAAGAUGAACUUCGGUUCUGAUGCCAUUGUUUCUGGUAACGGAGCUGUUUCGACUCCAUUAACCAAACAAUCCCCUCAAACUUUCUACUUCCUCACCUUGGAAGCAAUCAGUGUGGGAACCAACCGAAUAAAGUUUACGGAUAAACCUUUUGGAACAGACCAAGGGAACAUCAUCAUCGAUUCCGGUACGACAUUGACACUUUUACCAGAUGAGUUUUACUCGGAACUCGAAUCAGCGGUGUCUAGCAUGAUCAAUGCGCCGAAGGUUAAUGGUCCCGAGGGUCUGAAUUUAUGUUACGAUGCUACAACAGAGUUUGCAGUGCCAGAUAUUACAGUUCAUUUCAGUGGUGCAGAUGUAAAAUUGCAGCCAUUAAACACCUUCGUCUUGGUUUCUGAAACAGUUGCUUGCUUUACAUUCAGUCCCGUUCCAAAUUUCGCCAUCUAUGGUAACUUGGCUCAGAUGAAUUUCUUGGUUGGAUAUGAUACUAUUAAACAGACGGUGUCGUUCAAACCUUCAGUUUGCUCCAAUUGUUGGAAAAAUAUGGACAUUACAUAUAUAAUAAGCAUAAUUACAUGUUAUUAUUUAUUAUCAUAAAAAGUUAAUUUAAAUUAAAAGUAAUUUAAUUUAGUUAAAAAUUAUUGAAUUUUAAUUAUUAAAUAAAGAAUGUGCCAAAAUAUGCGUAGAUAUAUAAUUUUGAGUUUGAUAUUUUGACUAUUUAUGUUGAUAUUUGAGAUUCAUGUUAAUAUGCUUAAGUUUUGAUUAUUUAUAAUUUAUAAUAACGAUUUUGGUGUUUUUCUAUUGUUAUAUUUUUAAUAUGUAUGAUGGAAAUAUUAAAUUAAUGUGUUAAAAGAAUUGCUUUUAGUUGUCAUCAUUGAUUUAUAUGCUAAUUUCAAAUUUUUAUUUACGUUUUUUUUUAACGGAAAAAUAAAUUCAAAGGCAAUGUUUUGAUUAAGAUUUCAUUAUAAAAACCAUGACCAAAGAGUAUAAUUAGAAGAUUUGGAUGUGGGGCUUAUACAGUUUCAAUGAAUAAGUUUUUUUAAAUAAUUUAUCUAAAAUGGCCAAUUUUUAAGUAUAUUUAUAGAAAUGGGUUUCAGUAUUAUUUAUCGGAAAGGGCUAUUUUUGACAAAACACAUCCACGUAGGAGCGUUUAAGGAGAAAUUUCCAGCAAAUUGCGCCCUUGGGGAGCCUUUUUGCCAUGUUAGCACAAAAUGCACUGACGUGAACACGCUUUGCUAACGUGGCAAAAAAGCUCUCCCAAGGGCGCGUUUUGCUCCGUGUUUUUGACACCAACGGCUAUUUUUUUUACCGUUGGGGGGUCCAACGGUAAAAAAAAAGUAUAAAACACCCUCCUAUUAUUUCACACAAUAUUUCUUCAAAUUUUAGCAAAAAAUGCUCUCAAAUUUCUCUCUAAAGCUCUCAAAUUUCUCAUUAAAUUUCUCAAAGCUCUCUUUAAUUAGUUAUUUACUUUAAUUUUUUUUCUAAAUUAGUAUUAUUUUUUUAUGAUUUCAAAAAUAUUUCAUCGUGUUAGCAAUGAUCCCCAUUAUUUCAUCUCGAUCAUAAACAUAUCUUUGUCGAACAAAUAAAAAUGAUAAGGGUUAAUUUUAAUUUUUGAAUAUUAUUUAAUAUUUUUUUAUUUAUGUAAUUUUAAUUCAUUUUUAUUUUAUAGUUUUUUAUAAUAGUCUGUAGAUCAGAUGUUACAAUAUUAUAUUCAUAAUAUGCCUGGUCCUCCAUCACCGUUGAUAGAAAAUUACUUGAGGGAAGUGGGUUUUUAGCACGCCGCCACUAUAGGCCGAGGGUGCAAGUUGGACACGAAACUCAUCAAUGCGUUAAUAGAAAGGUGGAGACCCGAGAUGUACACAUUCAAUCUUCUAUGCGGAGAGUGUACUAUCACUUUGGAGGACAUCCAGUUACAAUUAGGAUUGCCGGUGGAUGGGUCCACAAUCACCGGGCCUGUUCAAUCUGCUGAUUAGGGAGUCAUAUGCUACGGUCUUUUAAGUGCGAUUCCAGAUAAUAUUUACGAAGGUCAGAUCGAGAUGGGCUGGUUACGAGACACAUUCCCAGAGCCGGAUAAUGAUUCGAUAAAGUAGAAAGAAUACGAUAUGCUCAGGCAUACAUCUUUGAGAUGAUUAGAGGUCAUUUGAUGCCAGACUUGUCACGAAACCUUGUACAUCUGAGGUGGCUGCUGAAACUCGUUGAUUUUAGAGCAGCUGGCGAAUUAAGUUGGGGGUCUGCCGUGUUGGCAACAUUGUAUCGGGAGAUGUGCAAGGCGACACCACCAAAUAAAGUCAAAAUCGGAGGUUGCCUAUCACUAGUACAAUCAGGGGCUCGGUUUCACUUUCUAUUUUUAUGUCCUUGAGUGAACCACCCAUAUACAUUUCCACUCAUAAUGAGGUGAAAUUUUUAUUUGAUUUUACAAUUAUUCCAUAGAUUUAAAAUAAAAUUAUAUGCUGAAAAUUUAUUUAAUUAGGUGGAACCAUCCGGCAAGUUGUGUUGGAAUACCUACCGCUCUUGAAGAUAUACGGCCUCUAUUAGACUAACGGUCGGAAGCGCAAGUAAGUUUUAAAUAAAAUAUAUAUAAAUAAAAUAGUCGUUUCAUAUUUAGUAUUUAGUAUCUAGUAUUAUGUAUAUAACUAAUAUAUUUAUCACAUUCAUAUAGUUUCAAUGGACACCGUACGAGGAUCCGGCAAUACGGGCCGUAAUUCUGGAAGAAUUCUUUUAAAAUCCGAACAUUUGGCAUGUUAAGGUCUCAUUGGUUAACUAUGCUACUAUCGAGAUGCAUUAGACAGAUAGAGUGUUGCGACAAUUUGGAUUCCAACAACCGAUUCCUGAGGAACCUGAAGUGCUCGAUGACCAGCAAAAAAUCGACUUACAGCAAACGAAUACAAAUUGAUCAGAAUUCUUCUCGAAAUAUAUCAAAAUUUAGGAAAACCAGUAUGAUCAUAUACCUAAUUGUGAAUCGAUCAUCGUCCCAGAAUUAGCGUGCAUGCUGGAUUACAUGCCAUGGUUUAGGAUCCAUUGCAAGCCAUAUUUACUAUUGGAAGAGCAGCGGCGUCGGAAAAUCCGUUUCGAAAGGGAACGACGGACCCUUUAAAUCCAAGAAGAAGAGAUGACGGCAUGGGCCCAACAACAGUAUCCACACAAUUACCAGGACAAAUGCCUCAAUCGACGACACCUAUAGCACAGCCCCUUCAAAUUAUGCCAGGUGUGUAUCCUAGCCCUUAUAUGUAUCCUAACCCUUAUAUGUUUUCAUUUCACAGUCCUAUGCUAGGUUGGAAUGAUGGCUCGGUGCAUCUCCUUUUUGAUAACUCUGACUCAACCGAUGAUAUAUAGGUCAUCAUCCCGGAGGGAUCACACGAGGCAUCAUCGGGGAACUCAGCUCAUUACCAAUCCCCAUCGCCUUAUGGGAUUCAAACACCUCCACCGUGGCUGAUGCAAACACCUCCACAUUCUUUAUUCUACCAAUAUGGGACAUCCUCCCAACACCCACAACCGGAGCAACUACAACCCCCACCGAAAGCGCAACUAAGGAGGAAUCAAGCGUGUAGUCGUCGAUCACCCCCAUGUGGCACUGAUUCCGACAGACAAUACAUUGAAUUUUUUUAAUAUAUUUGUACAAAUUGUUUCUACGUUGUUUCAUUUAAUAAAAUAAAAGUUGCUUUUAAUAUUUUAAUACUAAAUUAAUUUUAUAUUUUUAAUAAAAUAGAAUUUCUUUUAAAUAAGGUGGAAUAGAAAUAAUGCAACAUAGUUUCAUUACAGCAAUUAUCAACUAUUUCAAUUUGGGACAUGGUCGAAUGGUAUGACCUGGGUUCCUACACCAUCGACACAACUUUUGUUGGUUCUUUCUUUCUCGAAUAUCCAUAUUAUUAUGUAUUCUACUCGAGCAAGGUCAACCUUUUGGUUUGCAACGCAUUUCUCUAUCCGAUAACAACUUAAAUGGAGCAAGCGAUACAAAUGACCACUUGCGUUCAUCUAGGACUAGUGGGAAUACGUGUCUCCACACAUUGUACAUGUAUUCUAUUUUGUACACUUUGCCGCCAUAUCUUAUGGGAUCCAAACGGAGAUUCUGACAAGUUACAAUUGCAUGAGCGCAUGGAUAACAAAGUGUGUCAAACGUCCCAUAGUCGCAAGUUCUAUUUAUCAGGUGUACACGAUAUUGUCCGUCGGUAAUACAUUCUUCGCUCAGUCUAUCAAACUCUGUCACACGAAACCAUAGUUUGUCGUGAUCAUAACACACUGUGUGCAUCGUGUUGGCCCGCGACUUCGCAUUGUUAAUUUCUUACAAUACCUUUCGGAACCAUAUAUGGCCUCCCUGCAUUUGGCCUUUAUAACUCACUACUCACUUUGGAAAUAGUGCCGCCAAAUAAAAAUAUGUUUCUUGCACAAUCGAGGUAAUCGGCAAAUGACGUAUUCCUUUUAGAACAAAAUUUUUGCAUUCAACUAGGUUUGUGGUCAUAUGACCAUAUCGUAGGCCACAGUCAUAUACUUGUGUCCACUGUUUGUAUUUUACAGAGGUAGUUUGCGCCUUGAUUGUUAACUGAACGCAAAAUCCCCAACAUCUCAUGAAAAUGGUCCUUAUUGAUAUCGUACCCUGCCAAUAUAAGUUGAUAGAAAAAAUUACAUAUCAAUAUUCCAUUCAGAAUAAAUUGAAUAUUACAAACGAAAGUAUAUUAAUAGAGAUUAGAUACCGAUAUUGGUCACUUGCCAUCGUUCAGUCGUAGACCAAUAUUGCCCGUAGUAGUUGGACACAACGUACCUUAGACAAUACCUAUGGUGUGGCGAUCCCAUAGGCUUUCCUGUUCCUCAAUUACUGCUAGUAUUCUAGUACCCCGAUCUAAUAUAAUGCAAAUAUCAUGUUGGAGGCAUACAUGCCUCCCUAAUCUAGAAAGAAAGAAAUCUCAGCCAUUAGCUGACUCCCCCAUUGUUAUUGCAAAAGCAAUUGGAAGGAUUCUCCUACCGCCAUCCUAUGCCAUAGCUAGCAAUAGCCGAUGGGUAUAUUUACCAUAUAUAAAGGUACCUUUAAUUUGUACCAAUGGCUUGUAGUACACAAAUGUGUCCCGACAUUACUUAAAGCUCUAGAACAGACGCUUGAACACUUGACAUCCACGGAGCAAUGGUCAUUGUAGUACGCGAGGACCGUUUCAAGGUCUAUUAUGCAACCUAGGACGUACCUCUCUAGCACCUGACACCACUGCCAAACCUCAUUAUAUGAAGCGUCUUACCUACUAUGCAUCUUUUCCAAUGCCUUCUGGUUAGCUAUCCAAGCCUUGCGAUAAGAGGACGUGUAUCUCAAUUGUCUACGAAUACUGGCAAUUAUGCAUGACACAGAAGUCCUGGGAUUUUCCUUCAACAUCGAUAGUAUUAAGUUAGUUAUCAUACUUGAAUCCAUCUUGGGAUGAUCUUGUGAAACACUUGUCAAAGAAGUACGUUAAAUAAUGCAACAUUAAGUAAUAACAUUAUUAUUCAAAAAACCCUAGACAUCCAGUGAUACUGUACCGGCAACACAAGUAUGUGGACCUUUGUACUUUUUCAUCUCUCACAAGCCUGUCUUUUUCCUAAAAGAAGCCAUGAUUUUCUAUGAACAUGUAUCAUCUUGCACUGCACACUUGGCCUCAAACUUCUCAAAUUUGGAUUUAACCACAUUGUAGUUAACCCCAUGAUUGAUGCUAUGUUGUUUCAAAGCACCAAGAAAACUAUCCUUACUGGAAAACUCCUUACCAACUUCCACUUCACCCGAAUCCAAUGACGAACCUGUAUGAUCACGCGCUCUGUGUGGUAGAUUUGGAAACUCUAAUGCAUCAUCUACCGAUAUAUUGACAUUAUACAUGUGGGCUGGAGGCGAGUACGCCCUGAAUCACGGAUCUUUUUCUUUUUCAUCUGAACCCCCUUUAACGUCUUUAGGUUCGGAUAGAAUAGGCUCCGGUGUAGAAAAUAAUGCAACUUCUACAUCAUUUAGGUCGGGCUCUCGAGGUGGAUCCACAUCGGACUCAUCAUCCAAGCCACCAUCAUCUGCAACGUACGAGGUCCCCUUACCGGUAGAUGUCGUAGGGAGUACAUCAUCCAUUCUUAUGGACAUUUCGUAACGUCCCCAAUCAGAUGUGGAUUACCAACCACUAGAAGUUGAUGUCAAUCCCCAAUAUGCAUUUCCUACAUCGAACAUCGACCCACCGAUGUGCACAUCCCAUCCACUAACUGAUUGUCGUGCAGAAGUUGUGUUUUCCAUACUGCCACCAAACACGGGCGCUUCCAUGUUCUGCCUCCCACUAACUGAGUGUUGGGUAGGGGUCAUGUAUUCUUCUUGAAUAGCAGUUGAUGUUAAAGUCUCAAAUGUAACACCCCUUACCCAUAUCCGACGCCAGAAUAGGGUUUGAAGCAUUACUGGACUUAAACAUAAACAUUCAUAUAAAAUCGGGUCAUAAAAUUUUGUUCCAAUUUAUAACUUUUCAAUCAUAUGCAUAUCGUCCCUUAUAAGGGUCUACAGACCCGAAACAUACAUCGAAAGUGGUUCAGGACUAAACCAAGAACUUUUGGAACCUUUUAAACACUUAGAAAAUUUUCUUGUUUUGUAGAGUCACACACCCAUAUAGGUAGGCCGUCUGGUCACACACGCCCGUGUGGCUCGGGACAUGCUCGUGUCCUCAACCCAUAUAACUCUCUGACUAUGAAGUCAUCAACAAAAUAAGGUCACACAGCCAAAUGACACGCUCGUGUCUUAGACCGCGUGGCGAAUUAAAUUCCAAAAAUUAAGUACAAACUUCACACGACCUGGGCACACGCCCAUGUCCUAAGGUCAUGUCCUUCACACGGCUGAGACACACGGCCGUGUCUCUGGCCGUGUGUUUACUACUGGGCAUUCUGUUUUGCAUAAUUAGGGUACAAGGGUGAUAAUACUCUAGAACGACAUAUUUUAUGUACUAAUUUGGGUUAUUUUGAGUAUGAUCCUACUAAUUUGGGAUAUUUUAUGGUCUUUUAUCUUUUAGAGACUAAAUUGAAGGCAAAAGUAAAUUUAAGGGCGAAAAGCGUGAAUUUGGAGAUAAAGUGGGCCAACAUGUGAAGUAGGAGAAAAGUGGUGCCGAAAAUGCAAAGUGUGAAAGACUUUUGGGGCAAAAAUGCAAAAGAAGAGAUUUUAUAGCACAAGACUUUAUUUAAUGUUUAAUUAUAUUAGGAUAAUUAUUAAGAGAUAAUUAUUAAGGAUAAUUAUUUAGAUUUAAUUUUAGGAUUUAAUUUUAUUUAUCUUUAAUUAUCUUUAUUUAUUUGUAUUUAUCUUUUAGAAUUUAAUUAGGAAUAGACUAGGUUUCUUAGUACUAUAAGUAGGGGAUGAAGUGACAUAAAUUUGGUCCAUCUUUUUGCUAUAACACUCUCUCCCCCAUAAAUUUAGUCUUUUUGCUCUUUCAUAUUUCAAUAAAAAAUUCCCUUUCCAUUAUUUUUAUUUAUUUUUCCCUAAAAAAUCAUGAGCCACUAAAUCUAAUAUAGCUGAAGGUUGUCGAAAUUUCCCAAAAAGGUUCACGAGGCUUAGAAUCUGUGCUUAGCCUUCUCAACAGGGUAUUCAUCGCUUCUCCGUAUUACGGGGCUGACACUUCUGUCCAUGCCCCUUAAUAGGUGAUCUUUUCAACUUGUGCAAGGAACGGCCGCUUUGUACGUUUAGGGAAUGUUGCACAAUCGGUUCGUUGGCUUUCUACGUCAAAGGUUGAUGAGUCCAAGAGAUAAAAUGGCGUGGUAUUUUCCAUUAGGAAGUGAUGAUCUAGCAGAAGAUAGUCCUACAAAAAUGAUUAUUGACUAGAGUUAGGUUCUGCCAAAUCUUAAAGUUUAAAUUCUUGGAGCUGGUGGUCGUAAGCGUCUUCUUCCACUAUAACUGGCUUAUUGUGCUUGAGAAUGAUCACUUAAAAGCCAAGGAUUGGAUCCAAGGCGAAUCGAGACAACCGGAGGCUGGAAUCUCGCCACAUAAGAAGCUCUCUCUUUUCCCAAACUCUGUUUAUUUAAUUUUUCAAUUCAACUUUCAAUUUUGUUUUUAUUUUAUUUUUCUAGAUCAAAACUUUUAAUUCUAUUUUUUUUAUUUUUUUUAGGAAAGUAGUUUUUUUGGGCACGAUUCUGCCCAAGAUUUCGAAAAACAAGUAUUCGUGCAAUACGGUCCUUGAGAAUUCGACCCUACUUCCCCUUUGCUGUUUUUUUCAUUAUUUUGUAGGAAAUAGGAUAUUUUUGGUGCUCUCAAUGACUACACCAAGGAGACACAUGGCUGGAUCACACGCCUAUGGGGCAGACUAUGUGUCACACAUGGCCAAGACACAUGCCCGUGUGUCUAACCGUGUAGACAAUUUCUAGGCUAUUUUCCAAGCCAUUUGUCACCCAAAAACACUCACACAUUUACACUAACUUCAUGGCAUGCAACAUGGCACAUUUGAUUACUCAAACAUUUACAUUCAUGAUUAACUAUGACUUAGUAAAGUCAACAUGUCACCCAUUCAAAUUAUCAUACUUUCAUAUUGCAUUCCACAUGCAUUUCAUGUUUAUUUAUCAUUUUUACCAAUCUACCUUCAAGUUACACAUUUUCACCGUAUUUUUGCAUACUUAUUAACCAUAUCUCAUUCAUUAAACGUACAUGCCAUCCAUCACACUCAUCAACCACAAUCAACCAUAACCAUAUUAAAGCAUCAACACAUUUGCAUGCAUACAUCGUUAAAUAAGGUUACAACCCAAAAUAAUCAAUAUGAGCCACCUCUUAUGGCAAUAUACAAAAUAAUCAUGAUACCAUCAUAAGCCAACACAUUUGGCUAAUCAAUAUGACACAUAACAAAAAGACCAAGUCCCUAUACAUGCCAUACUUAAAAUGAUAAGGCUAGCUAUAUCCAAAUGUUCGACUAGUAAUGUGAUCGAGUUUUCGACAUUCUCUGGUCCCCGAGUUAGUUUAGCGAAACUAUAAGAAAGGAAAACGAAAGAGGGUAAGCAUAAAGCUUAGUAAGUUCACAUGCAAAUAAAAUGUAACUUAACAAAAUAAAUCAUGCAUUUAACACAACGAACAUAACCUUGCAUUUUAUCAAAUCUCAUGAAUUUAUCUCUCAUAUAUAUAUGUAUACAUGUUCUUACCACAAGCUCAUCAUAUUUUAUGUCAUUCACAUGAGUUCGAUGUACAUACUUGUGCCACUUUCACAUAAUAACUUAUUUUCAUGUUUUGAUGUAAUCGUUACGAUUACUCAUAGAACUUCUUUGAACUACUCAUUGAACACUCGGAAUACUAUCAGACACAUCGGAAACUUGAACCUAAGUGCCUCGUAUGUAGCCAAUGCUACUCCAUAUCUUAGACUACAUGUUGCUCACAUACGAGCUACUCACGGGACUGCUCAUACAGGUCGUCAGGUAUCCGUAACACAUGCCAGAAUACCUCGCCAUUAAUAGCAUAUACGAGACUAGAACCCGGAUGCCAAAACAUGUGUCACACAUAUCACGAACUCAGACCACAACUCAAUGAGUUCCGUUGUCACCUAUAUCAUGAACUCAGACAGAACUCGAUGAGUUCAGAUUACAUAAUUCCUAGUGACAUGUCACUUGUAUCCUAACUAUUUCUAAGGUUCAAACGGGAUUCUUCGAUACCACAUUUCUGUAGAACUUGCUCGUAAUGUCGAUUUCAAUGCUCAUAGCACCAAAUCACAUAUUCAUGAAGAAAUCAAAGCAUAAUUCAUGAUACAAUUUAGGCAAUAAACACAUGAUACAACAUCAAAUUAAAUAUGUAUGUACUUACCAUACAUGCAAUAUUAAAGCAUUUAAAGUAUGGUAUAUGUUGCAUUAUUUGCAAAUGAACUUACCUCGGUACAAAAAUAUAGAAACAAGCCUAAUCCUCGCAAACCUUGUUCUUCCCCUGAUCAAGACCCGAAUCAUGUUUUUCUUGAUCUAUAAUGCCAAAUUUAACUUUCUCAAUAUACACAUUACUCAUAUCAAAUCAUAACAUAUACUUUGGUAAAAUUACCUUUUUACCCCUAACUUUUCAUUUAUUUACACUUUAGUUCCUAGGCUCAUAAAAUGAAAUGCAUGCAAUUUUUUGGUUAUCCAAACCUAGCCGAUUCAUAUUCUAUCUCAUAUUAGCCCAUAUUUUCCUUUAUUUCACCUUUCUACUAUUCAUUUUUACACCUUUUUUCAAACAAGUCCUUUUUAGGUGUUUCCACUAAAAAUCACUUAGCAAAAGUUGUUUAUCACACAUCAAAUAAACAUCAAAAUAAAACCAUGUUACACAUGGGUCAAAUUUCAUGCAUGAACCCUAGCUCAAAAUAAUGGUAGGAAUGGGUAGAUCAUAAAAAAGGGGCUAGGGAGCACUUACAAUCAAUCUUGAAAAGUUGAAAACCCUAGCUAUGGAACCCUUGUAAAAUUUGGCUAUGGCUUGAAGAAGAUGGACAAUAUUUUCACUUCAUUUUCCCUUUUUAUUCUUUUAUUUACCAAAUGACAAAAAUGCCAUUAAGGCCUUUCUUUCAAAAUUUUCCUAUUCAUGCCCAUUUUUGUCCCAUUUUUUUAGCAUUUGGUCUAAUUUCUAUUUAAUGACCACUAAUUAAUAAUCCAAUGAAAUUUCAUGCUUAAAGCUUCUAUAACACAAGUUUUGUAACUUAUUCACUUUAGCCCCUAAAGUCAAAUUAGACAUCUUAGGCAUAGAAUUUAUUUAUGAAAAUUUCACACAAGCAUGCAAUCAUAUCAUGGACCAUCAAAUAAUCAUAAAAUAAUCAUUUCUAUUUCGAAUUUGUAGUCUCAAAACCACUAUCCUGACUAGACCUUGAUUCAGGAUGUUACAGCAAAUGUUUCAUUUGGUGAUGAAAAUUGAACAAAUAACUCAAGAUAGGGUGAUCCACUAGUAAGAUGAGUCUGCACCAUCACCACAAAGCUACAACUACCUUUGAUAUCAAAUGAGUCAUAUGUCACGGGAUCAAUUGAAGCACAAAAUCAAUACUUAAUAGAAGAAACCCUACUUGGCGUUGUUCCAAAGAUUUUGCACCUAAUUCUUUUACGAAAUUCUAUAAAAUCUAUACUCUAGUUAAAAACUAUUCGAGUUGUGUUCUCUGAUAAAAAAAACAACGCCGUUCUCAAUGUCAUGGACCUCACCAUCAUAGUAAAUAAUAGCAAUAAUACGUUCACUCAUCUUUAAUCUCUAUUCUUCUUAGCCUUUCUAAUUUUUCUUGCCGUAGCUUAUGCAACCUAAGAAUGAAAUUUUCCUCAUUUAUAGCCUAAGGCCAAACAUGAACUACUGUAGAAACAGAGCGCCCACGUGGGAGCUUUUUUCAGAAACUUUGCUGACAUUCCAUCCUGCUUGAAGCGUUUUUGACACUAUUUGUUCUUCUCAAAAUUAUUUUUUCAGAAACUAUUGUAGAAAAAUAGCAUCUACGUGGGAGCUUUUUCCAGUAAUUUUUCACAUAGUGCAUCCUACUUGAAGCAUUUCUGACACUAGUUGUUCAUAAACGUCUUCUCAAAAUUACUUUUACUGGGUAAAAAUAGUUAAUUUUGUUAAAAAAAUAAACACGAUAUUCUUUUUAAAAAAACUAAACCCUAAUUUAAUUAAUUUUAACCCUAAACCCUAAUUUAAUUUAUUUAUUUAAAACCUUUAAACCCUAAUUUACUUAAUUUAUUUAAAAUCAUAAACCCUAAUUUAAUUAAUUUCUAUAAAAUAGCAUUAAAUCCUGAUUUAUUUUUAAAAUCCACUAAAACCUUAAACCCUAACUUAUUUUAACAAAAACCUAAAACCUAAACCUAAAUUAUUUUAGGAAAACCCUAAACCUAAAAACCCUAGGGACUAAACAUGCAAAAAUCUGUAACCUAUAAAAAACACAGAGCAAAAUGAGCCAUAGGGGGAGUGUUUUUGCCACGUCAGCAAAGUGUGUCCACGUCAACGUAUUUUGUGCUGACAUGGCAAAAACGCUCCCCCAGGGGCGCGAUUUUCUGGAAAUUUCCCCCUAAAAUGCUCCUAUGUAGACGUGUUUUGCCAAAAUCGGCCCUUUCCAGUAAAUAAUGUUGAAAUCAAUCCAUUUCCGUAAAUAUACUUAGAAAUAGGCCUUUUUAGGUAAAUUAAUAGUUUUAUUUUAUUUUAUUUAAAAUUGAGUAUAGGUUACAUAGAAAGUAUAAGUGAAAUUCAAUUCUCAUAAUAUUUUUUAUUUGGUUUGGUCUCUUGUUGGAUGCCUUGAAUUAUUUUUUUGAUCUCUUUAUUUGAUGUGGUUUAUAUGAUUUUGAAUAUGGUAUUUGGUUAAAUUAAGCAUGUGAUCGCUAAGUGCUUUUUUCAUUUUAUGGUUUAUGUAUUCAUGUUGUAUAUGUGAAUUGGUUUGAUAUGAACAUUUGUCAAAUACGGUAUUCGGUUUCUCAUUCAGCAAUGAGACAAUUUUUUUUGAGUCAUUUUUAUGAACAUUUUAAAUUUAAAUAUUGGAAUAUAUAUUUUAAAAUAACUUAAUUGAAAUAAUAAGUUGUCAAAGUAACCUCUAUUAUUAAAAUUAUUUUAUUUUAAAAUAUAAAUAGUUGUGUAUAUGUAACUUAAGCUACGUUAAUAUUGAUUGGCCCAAAGGAAGGUUAAUAGUUAACAAAAUUACAUGUGCAACUAUGGUAAUAACAUAUGUGAUGAUUAUUGGGUUUUACAUGAGAGCAAUAAAUGGGCCCAAAGGAAGAUUUAUUGUUCGACGUGUUUUUAUUAUCAGUCUUUGAUUACUACAAUAAGAUAUCAGUUACAAGUUAAUAUUUCUGUCCAAAGAAGAAAUACUAAUGUAGUGCGCGAUAUCUUGAGAUGAUAUUUACUUUUAUUCAAAUUAUUAUGGUAUAAAUUUAAAAUAUUUUGAAACAAAUAAAUUCAGAUUUUGGCUUUAGGGUUUAAUUAAGAAUGUUUAAUAUUUUAAAUAGAUCAGAUGACACAAAAUGCCACCAAAGUGACCUCUUUUAAAUAGAUUAAUUUAUUUAAAAUAUCAAGAUGAUUAUAUGUUUUUGUAAUUCAUACGUUUAUUAGUUGACCCAAAGGUAAGUUAAUAUUUGACAGAAUUUCAACGACAUCUAUGGAGAUAAAUGUGUGACAAUUAUAAGGUAUUUUAUAUGACCAAUAAGUUAGUCCAAAAAUUGAUUCAUUAUUUGACAUAAUUUAUUGUCAAUGUUUGUUUGCUACGACAAAAGUAUCGCUUAUUGUUAAUAUUACUAUCCAAAGACUUGACAUUAAUGUUGUGUUUGGUAUCUUGAGAUGAGAUUAGUCACUAUUUUGAAUUUAUUAUUUACUAAUGAAUAUUGAUGUGAGCUUGUUUUUAUUAAUUUUGUUUAAUAUUUAGGUAGUUCAUUUUCUGUUGCCACAAUACCUAAUAAUAUAAAUUGUAUACCCAUGCUUAAUGAGACUAAUUUUAAGGAAUGCAAAAGACACUUACUUAUAAUGUUUGGUUGUAUGGAAAUAGACCUUACAUUAAGGGAAGAACAACUUGCACCUCUCACUGGACCCCUGAUGCUAAAAGGGAUUUUGAGAGGUGGGAUCAUUCAAACCAUAUAAGUUUAAUGAUCAUGAACACAACAUUCCAAGAGCCUUUAGGUGAACAGAAUCUGAAGAGAUUAUUCAGGCCAAGGGUUUCCUUGACAAAAUUGUGAAACGUUUUUCCAAAAAUAAUAAGGUUGAAAUGACAUCACUUCUGACUUCUUUGAUGUUUUUGAAGUAUAAGGGUUAAGGAAACGUGAGGGAGCACAUUAUGGAGAUGUUCCAUGUUGUUUUAAGACUUAAGGCACUUAAGAUCGACCUUUUUGAGGAAUUGUUUGGUCUUAUGGUUUUGGUAUCACUUACUGCACAAUUUAACCAAUUUAAAAUUAGCUACAACUAUCAAAAGGAAAAAUUGACUCUAAAUGAGCUAAUUUCUCAUUGUGUUCAAUAGGAAGAAAGGUUGAAACAUGUUAAGUUAAAAAGUGCUCAUUUGACCAAUGCCUCUAAAGAUAACUUGCAUUCUGAACAAAGUACCCACUAAAGCAGCUACAAAAACAUCUUAUGAGCUUUGGACAAGUGAAAAGCCUAGUCUAAAUCACUUUCACAUUUGGGGAUAUCAAGCUGAGGUAGGGCUUUAUAGGCCACAUGAAAAUAAAUUGGACUCUAAAAUAGUGAGAAACUACUUUAUUGGUUAUGCUGAGCGAUCUAGGGGCUAUAAGUUUUAUGAUCCUAUAAUUAGGAAUAUUUUUAAGACGAGAACUAUAGCAUUUUUUUAGGAUGUUGAGUUUGAAGAGAAAAAAAAGGUUAGAGAUAUUGCUUGAGGAGCAAUUGGAUUCCAACUCAGUUCCUGUUAUCAUUUUUGAUGAUGUUCAGGUUCUUAGACCAUCAUUGAUCAAGAAGUGAACUCAGAACCUCAACAAGACAAUAUUGAACAACUCCCUAUUCGAGAUGAGGUAAUUGUUCUAGAAGUAAAAAUUAAACAACCUCGAGAAUAAGUGCCAUGAAGGAGAUCCACAAGAGAGGAGAAAAGUUAUUGCAAACGAUUAUAUUGUUUUUCUCCAAGAACAUGAGGAUAAUAAUGGAAUGAUAGAAGAUGAUCCAAUCAACUUUCGUUAGGCUAUGAAAAGUUCUAAUUCUCAAAAGUAGAUUGAUGCUAUGGAAAAAAAGUAUAAGUCUAUACAAGACAAUAAAGUUUAGAAACUUGUCCCAUUACCUGAAUGUGCAAAACCAAAUAGCUGUAAAUGGAUAUUUAAAACCAAGAGGGAUGCAAAUGGUAAUAUUGAGAUUAUAAGACAGGUUUUAUAGCUAAAGGAUAUACUCAAAAAGAAGAUAUUGAUUUUACAGAGACUUUCUCUCCAGUUUCAUCGAAAGACUCUUUUAGGACAAUCAUGACGCUUGUUGCUCAUCUUGAUAUUGAGUUACAUAAUAUGGAUAUUAAGACUGCGUUUCUCAAUGGCGACAUUGAAGAAAGCAUUUAUAUGGUGCAACCAUAAAACUUUGAGUCAGAGACUCAAAGAAUAUGGUUCGCAAAUUAAUAAAAUGUCACACCCAAAUUUGGAUAACCUAAAUUUUAAGUGCAUAGACGAGAUGUUUGUUUUGGCGUGCUUCAGAAGUUAGUUCACCAAAUUGUAGCUUUCGACGAACUAUUGUUUCGGGAGAAUUAAGUAUUCGCUAAGGGAAGUAUAUCAAGAUUAAACCUUUGAUGUGUUCUUUAGUAAAGAAAGAAAAUGACAUAUAGGAAGAGUAAGCGUUAUGUAUGUCGCCGCCAAAGGUAUAUUACGUCAUUUUGUAUUGAGCCUUUAGUGGCUUUAGCGGCACUUUUAAAAACACUGCUAAAGAUCAAGUAUUAGCGGUGCUUUUUUAAAAACACCGCUAUAUGUACACCUUUAGCAGCGUGUUUUAGAAAACGCCGCAAAAGACUUUUGCAAAAUGUUGUCGUUUUGUAUUGAGCUUUUAGUGGCUUUAGCGGUGCUUUUAAAAAAAUGCCGCUAAAGAUCGAGUAUUAGCAGCGUUUUUUAAGAAACGCCACUAUAGGUACACCUUUAGCGGCGCUUUUUUAAAAAUGCCGCUAUAUGUACACCUUUAGCGACGUUUUUAGAAAGACGCCGGAAAAGAAUUUUGCAAAACACCAUCGUUUUGCAUUGAGCUUUUAGUGGCUUUAGCGACGCUUUUUGAAAAACGCCACAAAAAUUGAAAAAAUUAAAAUACUAUUAUUUAAAAUAAUUUUAAAGAUUUUUAGUAUAUGACUAAUUGUUUUUUAAUUUAUAUGUUAAAUAUUUUCUUAUAUAAUUGUAAAAGAGAUAGUAUUAAUUUAAAAUAUUGAAUUAAUUAUCAUUAUAGUUUAGGGUUUACGGUAUAUGGUUAAGGGUUUAAUGUUUAUGAGAUACUAUUUUAAGGUUUAUGGAUUAUGGGUUUAGGGAUUAUGGUUAAAGAGUGGUUUAACGGUUGGGGUUUAAGGUUUAGGUGUUAUGGGUUAAGGGUUAGGUGUUCAUGGUUUAGGGUUUAUGUUUUAGGAUUUAUGAUUUAGGGUUUAGGAGUUUAAGGUUUAGAUUAAUUAGUGUUUUUUAAUUUAUAUGAUAAAUAUUUUCUUAUAUAAUUAUAAAAGAUAUAGUAUUAAUUUUAAAAUAUUGAAUUAAUUAUCAUUAUAGUUUAGGGUUUAUGGUUUAGUGUGUAUGGUUUAGGGUUUAAGCUUUAAGAGUUACUAUUUUAAGGUUUAUGGAUUAUGGUUUAAGGGUUGGGGGUCAAUGGUCAGGGGUUUAUGGUUUAUGUUUUAUAAUUUAGGGUUUAUGGAGAUAUGGGUUAGGGAUAUGAGUUUAGGGUUUAUAUUAAUUAGUGUUUUUUAAUUUAUAUAUUAAAUAAUUUUUUAUAUAAUUAUAAAAGAGAUAAUAUUAAUUUUAAUAUAUUAAAAUUAUGAUUAUAGUUUAAAUUGUUUAAGAGAUAAUAGAUAAACUUUAUAUAUAUUAAAUGGUUUAAGAUUUAAGGUUUACUUGAGAUUUGUUAAAUGAUAAAAUUUUAUACGAUCAAUUAAUGCUUUUAUAUUUAAAAAUAUUUAAUCUAAACCAUUUCAUAUAUAUCUAAUAUUAGAUUAAGAAAAAAACAUUGAUAAAUAAAUAAAAAAUGUAACUGAUUGAUAUGAAUAGGUAACUAUAUAUAUUUAGGGUUUAGCGUGUAGGUUUAUUGUCUAUGAUUUAGGGUUUAUGAUCUAGGAUUUGGGGUUUGGUGUUUAGGGAUUAGGGUUUAAUUUUUAGUGUUUAGGGAUAAAUAUGGGGAUCAGGGUGCAAUUGUAUAAUGAACUUUAAUUUGAUCUAGUUCUUAUAAAUUAUUAACACAAUUAUUGAUAUAACAUCAUUUUAUAUUUAUUUAUUACAUACAUAAAUAUUUAUAUUAAUUCAAUAUAAAAAUAUAUUGAUGUAUUUAUUUUUUUAAAAUUUCUAUGAUUAAAUCAAAAAAAACUUAAAAAUUUAAUAUUUAAAAUUUUAUUCCAUUUUUUAGUUUAAAAAGAUCAAUAUUCAAAAUUAAAAAAAUUCCAAAAAAUGAUAAUCUCAACACAAAAAUUGUGAAAGGAAAAAUACAAAAAAAUAUGUUAAAAAUGAAAAGAAAAUUAAAAUUGAGUAAUAGUGACGUUUUUGGGUAAAACGCCGUAAAAAGUUGAGCUAUAAUAGCGUUUUUAGUAAAAAUGCCGUAAAAAAUUAAGCUAUAGUGGCGUUUUCACAAAAAAUCCGAGAAUUACCAGCGUGUUUUUAGAAAACAUCGCAAAAGGCCAUUAUUUUUUUAUAAAAAAGGCAAAAUCCCGCUCACUCCCAAAAAUUAUUUUUUAUUACCCGCUCGUUAACCAAAUCCCCCAAAUAAAAGUUUGUACUUAUUUCUUUUACCCUUUUACUCUCAAAAUUUGCCCCCAAAUUCUUUUUCCUUUUCAUUUCACUACACUGAACUCACCCACCAUAGCUACUCCUUUUCCCUCGAUUUGUUAGGGUUUUGGAGAAACAAAUGGAAGUUGAAGAGAAGAAGAAGAAGAAGAAGAAGAAGAAGAAGAGGGGGGAGGAGGAAGAAGAAGAGAGUGAAGAUGAAGGAACUAAAAAGGUCAAAUGUAGUAGUAGAAAGGGAAGUUCUAGGAAAUCUGGUCGAGAUUCAGCUGAGAAGAAAGAGCCAGUGACGCUUAGUAGUGAUAGGCCUACAAGGGAAAGGAAAGUCGUAGAAAGGUUUUCAGAUCCUCUUGUUGCAAGGUCUUCCUCGUUUAAAACUGUCAAUUGGAAAGGUAUGCUUUCUUUUCUGGGGUUAAGGCAUGGGUUCAUCACCUGCACCACUUCCGUCCAACGAUGGUACUGCCAUUGAUCAAGGAGUUGCUUACAUUCUCCUUUUGCUUGCUCUAGCGAUUACCUAUCUCAUCCAUUGAUGAUCUUUUUUUAUAUUUUAUUUUUAUUGGUAUAUGAGCUAUAAAUGAUUUUUUUAUGUAUUUUCUCCAUAUAUCUAGUGAGAGAAAUUGCAACAAUUUUGUAAUUUUCUUCUCUCCUAUCUUUGUGUUGUAAAUCUAUGCAGCAAAUAAAUCCAGUUGAGAAUUUGAGAUCACAUAAUCAUUAUAUAUAUAUUUUUUUGCUCAUUGUGAAAUUUGGAAUAUAUUUAGAUUCAUAUGACCAAAUCGAUAGAUCAAACCGUUUUUAGUUUUCUUUUUUUAGGGAUUUGGAGGAAGAUUAGUAUUGCUUCAAUUUUUUCCCUAAUGCCAAAAUAAGUCUUUUUUUUUUUGAAAUUAUUGGGUUGACUUUCAAUUGUAUGAUAUUUUGACUCUCAAGAUUCUCUUGGAUGAUAGAUAGAUUCAUGUGAUACUUUUUCUUUGAAAUAAUAUUGUUCAUGGUCAUUGAACUUUGUUGUUACUGCAUGGCCUGCACUAUUUAUUUCUGAUGCUGUAACUCAUUUCAGUGGCUUUCAAGUUGUCAAAGAAAGCAAAGGUGAUUGAGGGUUAUAUUGUCUUCUUGUUCCAUGAUGUGUUUUUUAUGUAUUUACUGUAUUACAGAAUAAAUGGUGCAUAACGCAGGAUAAGUGGAUUAAUGGUGUAAUUGGUGAAGCUCGAGCGCGCAAUGCAGGUAAAAAACCAUUGCUUCUGAAAUUGAGGUUAUGGAAAGAAACUAAACUUGUAAUAAAUAACAUAAAAAUUGGAUAAUUUUUGUAUUUGAUCUUCCUUAUUAAGGUGUUAUUUCCUUCAUUGAACUCAAUCAUAAAUUCAUGAUCUAGGCUCAACAGCUAGAACUUCAGGGCCAUCAGCAGGUUCAGGUUCAAAUACAACUUCUCUGCGCUGGGAUCUGCACACAAUACAAUUUUCUGUCAAUGCUUGGGUAUACUACCCCCCACCAUCCCAUUUCUUUCUCCCAUGUGAACAUAUUUGUAUAUUAGCGGAUAAUUCUUGCCUUCUUAUCCCUCUUUUUUGUUUUUAAAUGAGUAAAGAGUGCAUUUUAUUUCCCUCUUUAUUCUUGCAUCUGCCAUAGAGAGACCACCUUGUUGAGGAGCUGAUUGGCUAUUAAUGUAUAAUUACAUUUAUAAGAUGUAAUAUUUAGCCAGUUGCUAGUCUUGUAACUUGGGCCAUUUUUUACUUCAUGUACAUAUUUUUGUUAGGUUCUUUUUUCCUUACUUUUGUUUUUUAUCUUGCAGGUUUUUAUUGUGGCUGUGCUUGCCAUCUUUCCACUUGUCCCUAAAAGUCUUUCAAAAAGGGCUUAUCGGCUUUCAUUUAUGGGCACUGCUUGUUCUUCUGUAUACUCUUUGUAUGCACUAUAUGGGGUAAACAUAUUUCUACUGACUUGUCAUACAUUUGGUAAAUAUAUGAUAGUUUUAUGGAUAAGGAAAGUGCCUGUUUGGGUGGCUGGGUUACAUUGUUUCUUUACCUUCUUUUUUUUGGGGGGGGUUAUCUGUUUUAGUUUCUUUUGUUUUGAGAGAGUCCAGGCCUUGUUUUAAUUUUAAUAAUAAUCCAACCAUUCUUUUUUUCAAAAAAAAUAUAUAUAUGAUAGUUUUUUUGUUGAACCUAUUCUAUAUGUUAUGCAGAGGCCAAGAGCAUGGACUUUACAAGUUGUUCAAGUGUAUUUUCAAUCAGUAAUUGCAACCAAACAUUUUAUCUACUUUAUCUAUUGCCUUACAUUUGUCACUUCACAUCUUUGCCUUAACUGUAAGCAUUCUUCUGCUCAUAAACACUUUUUACAUUUUUGCUCCUGAAUUCUCUUUAUUAUUAUGUAGUAUGAUGAAUUGAUAUGGACCUUCACUGCAGUUGCUUUGAUUUCCAUUUUAUGCCGAUCACUCGAACGCAUUGCAAAGUUCUUGAGGCAUAAUUUUAGUCGUUCUGCCUUGUACAGGUAGACCUUUAUUCAGAUAAACUAUCUUCUAUAUUACAGUGUUCUGGUUUAGUUUUUUUUUAUUUAAUCUUGUGAUCAGACUAUAAUGUUCACUACAAGAAAUUGAGUUAAAUUUGCUGGGUGAUAUUUCCUUAUAUGAAAUGGCAUAAAGUUCAGAUGGAUGGAAAUUGUGUUAUUAUCUGAAAAGGCACAGUAAGGAGGAUUAUACACUCAACUUUUACUGAAAGGGUUAGUGCUAAUAAACAAAAAAAAUGUACUUCGUGAAUGUUAAUUCUACUUAUCCUUUUUUUUCACUUUAACCAAUUCCUUAGAUGUAUUCUCUCAAAAAAAAUCCCCAGAUGUUUAUUACUUCAAUUUAUUUUAUGACAUUCAUUUUGAUGUCGCCUCAAACCUAGAUGAAAUGAAAUGCUUGCGUCAUGCAUGUGCAUGUGUAACCUCGAGGGUUUAUUGAACAGGAAGUAUUUGGAAGAUCAUUAUGUAUGGGUAGAAUCAAACACCACCACCCUGAGCAUUCUAUCAUCAUAUGCUGAGAUUGGACUUGGCGGGCUUCUACUUGUUUCCUUGUUCUUGCCAGUUGCGAAUAUCUUUUUUCUCUUUUUGGUUUAUAGUUCCCUCUAAGCUUAUACAUUCCAUGACCUCUAGCUUUUCUAAUUUGCUGAAAUUUUCUAUUAAAUUUUGUAGGUGGCAAUGCAACAUUGUACAAACUUUUAUGUACUGGUAAGUCUGUAACACUACUUCUUACUUUUCAUGUAUUUACCUUUCUGUUUAUUAGUGAUUCUUUGGAUGGCAAUGGCAUGAUAGGUGGGUUCAGUACCUAGUUUGGUUAUUACCAAAAAACUAGUAUUGGAGCCCAUGACUUAUCAGUUAGAUACUUAUUGAUCCUUUGGUCUUUGUUUAUAUAUUAAUGAAUGUGUUCUGCUUGUGCUGUAUGCUUUUUAUGCAUCUUAUUAUUUAGGAAUUAAUUUUUUUCCCUGUAAAAAUAAAAAGAGUUGAAAUACGAGUUAUUAGUUCUCUCUUUUUCCAUUUUUAGUUUUAAAUGAUUUUGAAUAUAAAGUUUCUUGAACUUGUUUAUAUUAUUUUCUUUGCAUAUAAAGAUUGGUAUUUGAUGUUUCUUCUUGGAUUGAUCUUCAGAUAUGUCCUUUCCCUUCCUAGUGCUUCUGUCCCCAUUUUUCUCUCUUGCAUUUCUCGUAUCAAUGAUAUGUUCAACUUCAUAUAGAUCAUGGAGUUGUUACUUCAUUGAUGCAAACAAUGCUUUUAGUAAUUUUAUAGGGAAAAAUAUUAAAUACGAAAUAGUUUUGUAUAGAAAAAUCUUUCUCAACAUCGAAUACAUUUCAAACGGUCUAAACCCUUUGUGCUUUGCUUUUAUCCACUGUCUGACAGCUGUUGAAGCUUAUGUACCAUGCUCCUGUUAGUGCUAGUUACCACCAAAGUGUGUGGGCAAAGAUCGGGAGGACUAUUAAUCCACUUAUCCUGCGUUAUGCACCAUUUUUGAUAAUCUCGUAAUCUUCUUCUACGCAUUUUGGUAAUUCCAUGUUUCAUUUGAGUUAUUGAUUACAAUUGUGAUUGUUUGCUACAGGGUUUUGGUUUUGAUUUUAAACCUUAUGUCCACCCAAUCUAUAAUGCAAUAAUGUCCCUCUUGACUAACCAAGAUCAAGAUCAAGUAAGGAGAGUUUAAUUAGUUUUCCCCCUCCUGUCAUAUUUCUUCUGAGAUGGAUUUAAUGUUUUUUUACGUAUGGGAUAUGUUUAGGUCAAUUUCCAAAGGUAAAUUCAUUGAUUAUAUACAUAAAUUUUGAUUACAUGAUUAAUUACAUGAUCAAUGACUUUUGUUGAAACAAAUUUUGAUUAAAAGAGAUCAGAUAGUGUGCUUUGACAUAUGUGGCUUUGAGAGUCGUAUAGAUUUCCUCACUGGCUUAACUUUGGCUUACAGGUGCAUACUUUGGCUUUCUAUUCCGGUGUUUUGGAUUCUCUGGCAAUUGAAUUGAAAGCAUCAAAUGACUUUUCUAAGUUAUAUGCAGGCAUUGCAAUACUUUGGCUUCAUCUAAGCUUGAACCAGCCCUGUGUUGUAUAUUGUUUCUUCAUUUUUUCAGAUCUUUUUCCUUUGAUUAAUGAGAGGUGAUGAUUAUUUGGCAUUCUUUUCUCACUAGGAUGAAUUUUGUUUUAGAAAUUGUAAUACAUUGUGAGUGUGUUUGUGUUUUUUUUUAUGUAUUAAAUUACAUAUUGAAUCAAUUUUUAUGUAUUAAAUUUAAAUUUAUUUAUUUUUAUAUUUAGUUUUGAAGUUUAAAUUUUAAUAGAAAAUUUAAUUUAAUUAAUAUUUUUUAUUUAUCCUUAAAAGUAUAUAGUCUAAAGUUCAAAUUCAAAAAUUAAACAUAAUAUAAUUUUUAUCAUAGAAAUAAAUAUUAUUUAAUUAAAAUAAAAUAUUUUUUUAAAGGUCAUGUUUUUCAGCGGCGUUUGUGAGAAAAGCGUCACUAAAGGAGAACCUCAAAUCAAGGGAUGUACCUUCUAUAAUCAAUAUAGGUCAAAAGAACAGGUUCAAGGAAACGGACAAACAAAAGAAGGUGGAGUGGCACAAUGGGUGAUGGACUAAUUCUGAAAGAACCAAAUGAGCGCCGACAUUAAUGGAGCUGUUGGAUGAAUCUAGCAGUAAAACUUGAUAAUUUGAAUCAAUAUUUAAUUUUUUUGGUAAAUUAUUGUAUAUCUAACUAGCUAUUUAGUCUAGGUUCUAAUUUUUUUUAUCAAUUCUAUGUUUUACAGGAAUCGUGACACUCUAGAAAUUGGAAGUUCGGGCAAAAAUAGAACCAAUAUUGCAACACGACAACCCCGUGUUGUAACACCAAGGCCAAAAUUGAAGGAAUCUAGAAAACUAACUCGUUGUCAUUGUCGAAACCUCUUUUUUUAAAAAGGGGUAUUUUGAAAACGGGAGUCGCCACCAACCUUUUUAGGUGUGAUUGGAUCACCUUAUAAAACAUUUUGGUCUACGAAAAUAUGAGAAGAUGGGCUCGGGAGUCGAUUACGUGCAAGGAAGGAUUAGCACCCUUGCAACGCCCAAAAUUGGUACCAAAUUAUUUUCUGUCUUGAUGUCAAAAAGUUUGAAGGAAUUUAGAAAUAAGAUCCCUUUUUUAAGCUAUAAUAAUUUGCUGAAAAUCGAGGUUCUUUCGCUCCAAAAGAGUACAAACAUCACAUCCAGCAUGAUUGGACACGAUAUUCUUAGUCUUUCGAAAUUGAAAUUAUCUCGUGAUUUACUAAAUCUAUUUAGGAGGAUACUUUAGACAUUUAGACAGACGAGAAAUCGCAACCCAGCAUGUUAGGGCACUACUUCCCGAAUUCCUAAAUACCAAAAACAUUGCCUCUCUUUUUUAAAAGUAUUUUGGAUUGAAUAAGAUAUAAAAGUUCUUUAAAGUGAUGAUGCAUUCAACUUAUUACAAAGGAUCAAUAUUAAACAAAUUAACCUACAUGAUACCUACUUUAUCAUUCCAUGCAAAUAUAAAAAUAAUAAAUAAUGACAUAAAUUACAUAAUAUACAUUAUCACUUUAUGCAUAUAUAAUUAUAAAUAACAUAAAUAUAAACACAUUAUUAUUUCAUGCAAAAAAUACAAAAUAGCAAAAUAAUGAAUAUAACAAUAUAAAUUACACACAUAUAUAAUAGUAUUUCACGUGAAUAUAAUUUUUAAAUAACAACAUAAAUAAUCAAUUCUCAUACGAAUAUAUAAUAAUAAAAUAACAUAAAGAUAACAAAUAAUCUAUGAGAUAAAAUUAACAUGUUAAAAGAAUACCUAAUAAAUACAAAAAGUAUAAAAACAAAAUAUAAAAAAAAGAUAUUUUAAGCAAUAUAUAAGUAAUAAAAGAGAAAUUUUUUUAAAAAUAAUAAAAAUAUAUUAUAUGAUAUAAUAGCUUAAUAUACUUAUAAAAAUAAUAAUAUGUUAAAUUGGAACAAAAUUUUGUAGUAAAUUUUAAAACAUUAGACAUAAUAUAUAUAAUAACAAUAUAUGUGUUAGUUUAUAAUAAUUUACAAAUUUUAAUUUUUAUAUACUAAUAAAUAAUAAAUAAUGAAAUAAUAUAUAAUAAAAGGAAGAUAUUAUAGGGAAUAAUAUAUAAUAAAAUAUGAUAUAUAAUAAAAUAUAUAAAUAAAAUAUAAUGAAAUAUAAAUAAUAUGAUAAAAUAUCAUAUAAAUAAAAAUAAUAUAUACUAUUUUUAUAUAUAAUUAAAAAAAUAAAUAAUAAAUUAAAUAUAUAAAAGGGAUUAAAAUUGAAUUUAAUUAAAAAUCUAGGGCUAAUUUACAAAUAAAUAAAAAUUUCGGGCCUAAUUGAAAUGCGUACCAAAAUUUGAGGGACUCACUGGGCAAUUAGCCCUAACCCCAAAAACGAAGUCGUACUCAGAACAGGUCUUAUAAUGGCUAUUGGGACCAAAUUGCAAUAAAUGCAAAAGAUUAGGGCCAAAUCAAAAUAAAAAUAAAAUGAAUUUUAAAAACAUGAAAAUGCGGGAGGAUCAAUUGGGCAAUUAGCCCUUUAAACAAAAACGAGCGGAUCCUACCCGGAUCUCGGGUCAACGCGCAGAUCCUAACUUUGAAACGACGCCGUUUUAAAGCUUAUUGUUUUAAGCAAAAACGACACCGUUUUCAUAAGGCUAUAUAAGCCAAAUUUUAACCUAAAAUUUCAUUUUAAAAUCGAUUCUAAAAAAAAAGAAAAAAAUCUCUAAAGGAGGGUCGGGGUCCGGCCCUCGGAGCUCUGUCGAGCCUCCGUCCUAAGGCUUACACGCGCCUACGCGCUACAGUCAACACCGCCUCUUACGGACGUCGGAAGCUAGAAAGCUUCGUUUCUUAGCGCAAAUCCCUCGGUAAGUUCCCCUUCUUUAUAUUCUUAGCAAUAUUUAUAUGUAUUCGCAACGAAAAUAAAAAAAACAAAGUAAAAGUAAAUCACCUCUGUUUCUUGAUUUUUAUUGUAUGUAUGCCUGUUAAAAAACCUCGUAUCCUUGACAAACUACUUUAUUUUAUUGUGUAUAUGAAAAUCUGUGUUUACAAAUUAGAAAAAAGGGGUUUUUAUAACCCUCUAUUACAUUUUGGGGAAAGAAUCCUUUGAUUUCUUUCCAAGUUUGCUUCUUUUGCUGCUGUGGUUCUUUCCUUCUUUUGCAGAUAUCAGCGAGGAUCUCACGGCAAUGAGUGCUAGUGUUGAUUUGUGCGCUGAUUGCGGCGUGAUACAAGGCCGGAGUCACGGCGCCGGUGGAGACGUUGAUGGAAAGUCACUGGAACGACGCGAAACGAAAAGGCGCGUCGGUUAGAGUGCUUGCGACGCCUAGGGUUUCUAAAACCCUUGGUCAUCUGUCUUCCGUUAACAAAUUGGGCCACUUAGGCCCUGUGUAUUUUGGGCAACAUUUGGUCUCUAGUACGGGCUUGGGUGUAAUUGGGCAUUAGGUAAUUUAGGUAUUUGGGCUAGGUAAACGGGCUAGCAGUUUUGGGUUUUGUAAAAGGAUUGUAAAACUUUAUUAUUUUUUUUGUUUUUUUUUAUUUAUUUAUUUUACGGGCCCGGGUGAAUUUAGGCUAUUACAGCUGCCCCUCUUUGCUUAUUACUGUGUAACGGGAAUAGAGCAAAGAUUAUAAAAAGACCAAAUUUGCCCGACCUGGCCAAGUCUCGAAAUCUUGAUCCUCAUCUUCCUCAAAGGUAUUCUGAUAGCUUCAAACUUGCUUCACCGUAACUCAAGAAAGUCAAAUCUGCUAUCUUCAACCUGCUUCCUAUCAAUAUAGAGACGCCAAGCCGAAAUGUUCGAUCUACUCUCUGACAAUACAGAGACGCCGAAUCCGCUACCCUCGAUCUGCUCUCUGACAAUACAGAGGCACCAAAUCUACCAUCUUCGACCUGCUAUCUCACAAUACAGAGAUGCCAAAUCUGCUAUCUUCGAUCUGCUCUUUGACAAUACAGGGACGCCAAAUCUACUAUCUACGAUCUGCUCUCUGACAAUACAGGGAUGCCAAAUCUACUAUCUUUGAUCCGCUUCCUGACAAUACAGAGAUGCCAAAUCUGCUAUCUUCGAUCUGCUCUCUGACAAUACAGGGACGCCAAAUUUGCUAUCGGUGAUCUACAUUGUCCAUUAAAGGACAUAACCUGUAGAAUGCAUAUGUACUCAUGCCCGAUGAUUAAGAUGCGAUGCUCGACAUGAAUCAAAUGCUCCUAAUUAUGCAAAAUGUUAUGAAAAUGAUUCCUAUUUCGGACGUCUUUACUCGUUCAUCCAUCAAAGUUCCACCUUUAUUUUACUCCAAGUAUCAAUCAUACUCCGCUCAUGUGUUUUGAAUCAAAUUGGUCCUAUUAUACCAUUCUCCGAACGUUACGAUCUGCUGAAGGCGAUCCUCUCCUACGAUUGAAUCGUUUGAAUUGUCCAAUUAUUCUUUGAACUGGAGAAAUUUUCUUGAAUACCUCUGACCCUUACUCAUGGGAAUUUCUUCAAACAAUUGUUUUGUUUUAGUUUCUUGUAUUCUCUAGAGAUUUCCAGAGUAAUAUGCAAAACUUCAUUUGUAAAAAUAUUUAAUUCAUCAAUCAUUAUUUCAAUGCAACACACUUUAUAAUGGAAGACAAAUAAUUUAAUCUUGAGAAUAGUUAGAUAAAUCAUCAGAAUAUAAUAGGAAAUUAAUCUGAAAAUAUAUCUUUGAGAAGAAAAAUAAUCCAAAGAUAAAAAACAGAACAAAAAUUUGAUGUCUAACAUAUCACAGCUUGGGCUUCUGUGUACAAAUUCCAUGAAGACUAUUUUGAGUUUAACAUAUGUUUAGAGGAUCCAAAGUAUUUUGUUGAUGCCCCGAUAUGUAACACACUCCAUUUCUCGUCAAAUCCGAUAUAACAAAGUCACCGCCUGUUUCUCAAAUAUUUGAGCAGCCCUUUUCGGGUUUUCAACUCAAAACCCCUUUGGUCUCAAGGCGCCCUUUGCGGGUUUUCACCUUGGCCUCUCCAUUUUUUUUCUUUCUUGUUUUUUUUGAAGUCUCAAAGCGCCCUUUGUGGGUUUUCACCUAGUCUUCCCUUCUCUUUAGACAAAGUACUUCUUGACUGAGUCUAAAUUCACUGGAUUAGGUAAACUUUUCCCAUCCAUUUCUGUCAAAAUCAAAGCACCACCAGAGAAAGCCUUCUUCACAACAUACGGCCCUUCCCAAUUCUGCAUCCAUUUUCCUCUAAAGUCCUUCUGUAUGGGAAGUAUCUUUUUCAGCACAAGGUCCCCUUCGUGAAAUUCUCUUGGACGAACUUUCUUAUCAUAAGCUCGCAUCAUUCGCUUCUGAUACAUCUGACCAUGACGAAUAGCCCUUAGCCUCUUUUCUUCAAUCAAGUUCAAUUGGUCAUACCGCGAUUGAAUCCAUUCUGCUUCAUCCAGUUUUAUCUCUGACAAAAUUUGAAGAGAAGGUAUUUCCACUUCAAUAGGUAACACUACCUCCAUCCCAUAAACCAAUGGGAAAGGAGUUGCCCCAGUAGAGGUUCUGACGGACGUUCGAUAGGCAAAGAGUGCAAAUGGUAAUUUCUCAUGCAAAUCUCUGUAGGUCUCAGUCAUUUUCCCCACUAUCUUCUUGCUAUUUUUAUUAGCAGCUUCCACCACCCCAUUCAUUUUUGGGCGAUAUGGAGAUGAAUUAUGAUGUUUGAUCUUGAAUUGGCUACAAACUUCCGCAAUCAUGUUGUUAUUCAAGUUUAAUGCAUUAUUCGAUAUAAUCCUCUUAGGCAUUCCAUAUCGACAAAUAAUCUCCUUUUUCAAGAAACGACUUACUGCCGACUUGGUAACACUAGCAUAUGAAGCUGCCUCUACCCAUUUUGUGAAGUAGUCAAUUACCACGAAAAUGAAACGAUGCCCAUUCAAAGCUUUUGGUGAUAUUGGCCCAAUGACAUCCAUGCCUCACAUGGAAAAGGGCCAUGGAGAAGUCAUAACAUGGAAGGGUGAAGGUGGUACAUGGAUCUUGUCUCCAUAUAUCUGGCAUUUAUGACAUUUCUUAGCAUAACUGAUACAAUCUCCUUCCAUAGUAGACCAAUAGUAUCCAAACCUCAUGAUUUGUCUUGCCAUCGUAAAGCCAUUAGCAUGUGCACCACAAACUCCUUCAUGUACUUCUUCCAGGAUUUGUCUAGCUUCUACAGCAUCAACGCAUCUCAAAAGUACCUGAUCUUUCCUUCUUUUAUAAAGGAUAUCCCCAUCUAGUACAUAUUCACAGGCUAACCUUGUCAAAGUUCUUUUGUCAUUCUCAGUUGUCUGUUCAGGAUAUUCACGAUUUCUCACAUACCGUAAUAUAUCUUGAUACUAAGGAUGGUCAUCCUUUUCUUCUUCUUCGAUGUUACAGAAAUGAGUUGGAACGUCAUAAAUGCUUAUCUGAAUUGGUCUCACAUCCUUUUGUUUAUUAACUUUAAUUAUGGAAGCCAAUGUUGCCAAAGCGUCCGCCAUCUGAUAUUCGUCCCGUAGGAGAUAAUUGAAAGUGACGUUAUCAAACUCUUCAAGUAACUCCAAAACUAUCUUUUGAUAAUUAAUCAACUUGGGGUCCCUUGUCUCCCAUUCACCCCUAAGCUGGUAUAUUACCAACGCAGAGUCUCCAUAUACUUCCAGGGUUCUAAUUUUUUGCUCUUUGGCCGCUCAGAUCCCCAUGAUGCAUGCUUCAUACUCAGCCAUAUUGUUCGUACAGUCAAAAUCCAAUUUACAUGUAAAUGGAUAAUAAUCACCAUUUGGGGAUACCAAGACUGCCCCAAUUCCAUUUCCUACUGCAUUGGAUGUGCCGUCAAAGUUCAGCUUCCAUGGACGUUCUUCAAUAGUUGCCAUGUACAUCAACUCCUUAUUAGGGAAAUCAAGGCUUAAUGGUUCAUAAUCUUCUAAAGCUUUGCUAGCCAGAAAUUCUGCUAUUGCGCUUCCUUUUAUAGCCUUUUGACUCACAUAGACUAUAUCAAAUUCUGAAAGCAAUAUUUGCCACCUUGCCAUUCUUCCAUUUAGGGCUGUUGACUCCAUCAUGUACUUUAACGGAUCAAGUUUUGAAAUUAGCCAUGUCGUAUGAUAUAGCAUAUAUUGUCUCAACCUUCGAGUCAUCCAAAUCAAAGCGCAACACAACUUUUCAAUUGGCGAAUAUCUCAUUUCACACUCAGUGAAUUUCUAACUGAGGUAAUAUAUCGCUUUCUCCUUUCUUCCUGAUUCGUCAUGUUGACCAAGUACACAUCCCAUAGAAUUACUAAACAUCGAUAAGUACAGAAUUAAUUGUUUAUCUGGACUCAGUGGAGAUAGUACUGGAGCGUUUAGCAAGUAUUGUUUGACUUUAUCAAAGGCAUUCUGGCAUUCCUUAUCCCAAGUCCCUUAGUUGUGUUUUCUAAGGAGGCGAAAUAUAGGAUCGUAUUUCUCAGUUAAUUGUGAAAUAAAUCGAGCAAUAUAAUUCAACCUUCCAAGAAAACCCCGAACUUCCUUCUGAGUGCGUGGUGGAGGCAAUUCUCGUAUGGCUCUAACUUUGUCUGAGUCAACUUCUAUUCCCUUUUCACUGACCACAAAGCCCAAUAACUUCCCUGACCUAGCUCCGAAGAUGCACUUCGCCGGAUUAAGCUUCAACUGAAACUUCCCUAAACUCAGGAACAACUUCUUCAAGACUUCAACAUGAUCCCUUUCUGUUCAAGAUUUAGCAAUCAUGUCAUCAACAUACACCUCAAUCUCCUUGUGCAUCAUAUCGUGAAAUAAGGUUACCAUGGCCCUUUAGUAUGUUGCCCCUGCAUUCUUUAGCCCGAAAGGCAUUACCUUGUAACAAAAGGUGCCCCACAAUGUUAUAAAGGUGGUUUUAUCCAUGUCCUCAGAAUUCAUCUUUAUCUAAUUGUACCCUGAGAAGCCAUCCAUAAAGGAGAACAAUGAAUAUCCCAUUGUAUUGUCCACCAAAGUGUCAAUGUGCGGUAAAGGAAAGUUGUCCUUUGGGCUAGCUUUGUUCAGAUCUCUAUAAUCAACACACAUUCGUACCUUCCCAUCCUUCUUAGGGACAGGCACAAUGUUAGCCACCCAUUCUGAAUACUUAACCUCUUGUAGGAAUCCAUCAUCAAAUUGUUUCUUGACUUUAUUUUUUAUUUUCAGCACAAUAUCAGGCCUCAUCCUUCGUAAUUUUUGUUGGACUGGUUUGUAAUCUUGUCUUAUGAGGAGACGAUGUACCAUGAUAUCAGUAUUCAAACCUGGCAUAUCCUCGUAUGACCAUGCAAAGAUAUUUUUGAAUUCAAGUAGUAGCUCAACAAGACCUUGUCUCAUUUCCUUUGCAAUAUGUGUCCCUAUUUUCACCUCUUUUCCUUCUUCCAAGACUACAUUCUCUAUUGCCUCUUUCUCAUGGGUAGGAUUUUUUUCUCCUCUUGUUUCACCAUUCUCAACAGAUCUGGAGACACGUCACAAUCCCUGUCAUAUUCAAAAUCCUGAGGUUCUUCUAAACACAUGCCUUGCUCAAAAGAGAAUUCAGGAUUUGUAGUAUCAGUUCUCAUGUCAUUAAUAUCUAAGGACCUGUGGGGUACGAAAGAAUAUACAAAGAAUGAAUGAAUUCUAAGAAUGUUUAUGUAUUAUGUAAGAAUUUAAAGAGGUCAAAAGAAUAUUGAACGGUAUAAAAGAAUAUUCACUUGAAUCGAUAACAAAAAGUUGCAUUUUAUUGAAAUGCAAAUAUCCGAACGUGAGCCUAUUUUACAAAUGAAAUCUUACUACUCCUAGGCUUUAGAGCAAUAAGAGUGCUCUGAAAAUUACUCUGAAAAAUCUUUAAAAACUACAAGAAGUUCUUUUGCAACCCAAUUGUUUAAAGUGCUUCCCGUUUCAUAAGGGCAAAUGCCUUCAAGGUUUCCUCAUUUAGACUCUUCAUCAUGCACAGCAUUGAUAUGAUAACCUCCUUUUUCGAGCAUUCCUCUCUCAGGGUGAAUCAUCCCUCCUAAUAUAAAAGUUUGAGAUAUAUGGGAGAAUGUCAUCAGUUCCCACUCUACUUCUCUUCCAUUUAAACGCGCCCUUCUUCUUUCUUGGCGCUUCUCUAUUUCUUUCCUCAUCUGCUUGUAAUCUGGCCUGAAACCCAGGCCCAAACGGUUUCUCUUCUCCUUUAGUUUAGGACCUUGAAUCCCUCCUUGGAGAUAUCUUCCCAACCCUUUUCCUGGCAUGGCUCCUUUCCCCACUGUCAUCUGCAAACCCAUUCUUGUGGUUCUGGAUAUCCUAGGCACUGGCACCUCAUUCCCCUCUGAAAUGAAUGUUGCAUUAAUGAAUUCUAAGGAACGAAAAGACCACUCAAUGGCCUCCUCGUUUGCUUCUACAUAGGGUACAUCACUGGAAACUGUCGCUAUAAUGUCCUCCUCCGCAUUUAUAGUGACCAGCCAUCCAUCGGCUACUAACUUCAAUUUUUGGUGCAAAGAUGAGGGCACUACUCCUGCCGAAUGUAUCCAAGGCCUCCCCAUCAGGCAAUUGUAAGAGGUCUUAAUGUCCAUCACUAAAAAGUCCACCUCAUAAGUGUUUGGCCCAAUCAUCAAAGGAAUAUCAAUUCUUCCCAUGACCUUUCUCUCUGUACCAUCGAAUGCUCUCACUACAUUAUGGCAUGUUUUCAUGUGAGAACUGUCUAUGGGUAAUCUAUUCAAUGUAGAUAAUGGUAGGACAUUUAAGACUGAUCCAUUAUCAAUAAGCACACUCGGCAAUGUAUACCCCUUACAACGAGUGGUGAUGUGUAAAGCUUUUGCUGAUCCCAUACCACCAGGUGGGAUUUCAUCAUCGUUGAAAUAGAUGAAAUUGUCAGCACUUAUGUUACUAACCAAUCGAUCCAAUUUAUUGACAGAUAUAUUAUUAGUAACGUAAGUCUCAUUGAGCACCUUCAUUAAUGCUUCCCGAUGUACCUCUAAACUCAAAAGCAAAGCCAACACUGAUAUGCGAGCUGGUUGUUUGCGUAAUUGUUCAACCACGCUAUACUCACUGUGUUUUAAGAAUUUUAGAAACUCUUUGGCUUAUUCUUCCUUCACUGGCUCAUUCACCAAUAUUUCAGCCCCUUUUCCUUUGUCAAAGGUUUUUGCUUUUGCGGGCUCAACUCUGACGCCUUCUACAUCAUAAUGCUUCCCACUACGUGUAUAAGAACCCUCAUUUUGAGCCUCCUUAGAAGCACUAGCUAUAUCCUUCUUCUCCGGCAUUGUCACAUUGCAGUUAUAAUUCCAAGGUAUCCUCUUGUUAUCCUUAUAAGGAAAGGAAAUAGGUUUAUGAAUAAUGACUUUCGGUGCCGUUGGUAUUUCAACUUCAUUAUUUCUUGGUAAAGAAAUAAUGAUCCUUGGCCGGUUUUGAUUCUUCGGUCCACCUUCUAAUGUACAUAUACGUCCCUCAUCUGAGCCAGCUUCAUAAAAUUCCAGCUCCUUAUUAUCCAUAAGGCUUUGUACCAAGGUCUUAAACUCGUCACAUUCCUGGAUCUCGUGCCCCUCUUCAGCAUGGAAUUCACAGUAGUCUCUCACUCCUCUAUUCCUUUCUUUACAGAUUAUCAUCUCUCUUUCCACCAUUUCUUCCCAAAUCAUUUUCAUCGACGUUCUCACCUCGGCCACGCUCUCUUUAAUCCUUCUCAUACCAGUAUCCCAACUGCGUUUACCCCUUGAUCACCAUGAUUUGGGAAUGGGUUCUCGUUACUAAGGGUGUCGUCAAAUUUUACAACCCCCAUCUUAAUAAGUCUUUCCACUUCUUUUUUAAAGCCAGUGCAAUUUUCGAUCGAAUGCCCUGAUAUCCCUACAUGGUAUUCACAUUUUGCAUUUGCAUCGUACCAUUUAGGGUAUGGAGGUUGCAGAGGUUUCAAAUGAAAAGGAGCUAUUGCAUGCGCAUUAAAUAAGAUUUGAUAAAUCUCCCGAUACGUCACUGGGAUAGGCAUAAAUGAGACCUUUUCAGAAUUUUGUCUCGAACCUGAUCCCUGCUUUUGAGAAUCUUGUUGCCCAACUGUAGUUACUUUGGGCUGACUAACCGUAACCGCUUUUGAGUUAUAACUAUUCAUGUGGUUCACCUCAUUAUCUUUCCUUCUUGGGGCUAAUCUUUUAACAGCUUCCCCCUCUAUCUUGCCACCCCUUAUGGCAUUUUCAAUCAUUUCUCCUGUCAUAACUAUAUCAGCAAAACUCUUGGUGGUACUUCCAAUCAUGUGAGUAAUGAAUGAUACCUUCAAAGUGUUGAUAAACAACAUGGUAGUUUCUUUCUCUAAGAGCAGUGGUUGAACUUGCAUGGCAACCUCCCUCCACCUCUAUGCAUAUUGCCUAAAGCUCUCAUUAGGCUUCUUUUUCAUAUUUUGUAAAGUGAUUCUAUCAGGAGUCAUGUCAGUCACAUGAUUAUAUUGCUGCAUAAAGGCUUGCGCUAAGUCUCUCCAAGAACCGAUCCUUGUGCGACUCAGUUGAUUAUACCACCUAGCAGCUACCCCAACCAAACUAUCCUGAAAACAAUAGAUCAAUAAUUGAUUAUUGUUUACAUAACCAGUCAUCCGUCUCCAGAACAUGGUGAUAUGGGCUUCAGGGCAAGUAGUCCCAUUGUACUUCUCGAAUUCCGACAUUUUGAACUUAUGGGGAAGCACCAAAUCUGGGACCAAACUCAAGUCCUUAGUAUCAAUUCCCUAACGAUUAUCAGCGUUUUCUAGUGCCUUAAAUUUCUCCUAUAAUCAUCUGCACAGUUCCUCUAAUUGUGUUGAUGAUUCAAGUCUCAUCUCUUCCUUCUCCGCUACAUCUAAAUCAGGGAUGACUGGAUUGGUAGGAUUAUCUCCUGGGUUAAAUCCCGAGCCAGUUUGAAAAUUCAUGGGUAUUUCAGCAUCAACUUGCCUAUGUUGAGAUCUUAUUGUGAUGGACGGCCUUCGGGGAUACGCCUCAGGUUGAGUUUGUACAUGGGGUAGAGUAAAACUCGGAGGAUGGUCCUCAUUAUCCUCUUCAGUGAUAGUCAUAGGGGCCUUUCCUUUAUCUGUUGCCCCUUUCAGCAGCUAAGCCAUUUCAGCCAUCAUAUUCUUUUGGGCCUCCAACAUUUGUUCUUUCAUCUCCUGUUGAAUUUUUGCCAAUUGUUCCUGUAACUGCUCUUGCAUUUCUUUCUGGAUCUGCUCAAGUCUUUGAUCCAUAUUCUUUGUCUUAGUGCGUGUACCGUAAGGAUGUGUUACUUCUAGAUUUUCUUUUUCUCACUCUUUCUUUCUCCCUAAUAAUUUUAACUAAUUAGGGUCUUUCUAUAAAUUUGAAUGCAUAUGAUAAAUGAGAUGCAAAUGCAUGAAUGUAAAAAGAUAUCGAUUCUGAUUCAGUUUUUUUUAGAAAAUGUUAUUUAAGAAACAAAAAUCUUUACACAAAACGGAUUACAAAUACGCCUUUGCCCUCAGGCCCAAAGUUUUAACCCUAUCCAAUAACAAAGCUAACUCUAGACCUCUAUCUGACACUAACUCAUACUUUGCACUCAAUACAUUAGCUUGCGCUGCCAAGUCUUGCAAAUGAUCAGCAACCUCUUGAAUCUGUACUAUAGCUUCUCCCAUGAGGUAGUCCCUAUCUCUGACUUGAUCAUAAAAAUGGUGAAGCUCUCCCUUCCAAUGUUCUUCUCUUGCCUCGAGCUGCUCAAUCUGUAACUCAGAAUUCUGUAAUGCUGCUUCCAACCCUCCAAUAUUGUGCUUCAUUUCCUCGAUCUUAUCCAGGCUUGCCUUUAACUCGACCGCAGAGUUAUGACUUCGGUGAUGAUGAAGAGAUCGUCCAAGCUCAGUCACCUUAGUUUUUAAUCCUUGAUUCUCCUUCUCUAGGGCUUGAUUACAUACCUGCAUCUCUUGGAACUUCUUCUCCCAAUACUCGGCUUUGGCUCUUUCUUCUUGAACCUCCUGUGCCACUGCUCUGAAGACUUCCCCAAUCCAGCUCUCUUUAUUGAUAACUGUAUCCUCUUAUAUUGCGUCUUCAAGUCAUCUCGAUCUUCAACAAUCUUCCUCUUUUCUUUCCUCUCUUUUUUGACCUCAAUUCUAUAAACGUCGACGUUUAACCUUAGGUACAUCUUCUCCUCCUCAAGCUUCUCUAUCUUUCUCCUGAGCUCUAAAUUCUUUCUUUCAAAGUCUUGCUUUAUGACUUCUAACUCUGUUGGAAUCACUCGUAAACUCUCCUCCAUCAAUCGGGUAGCCCCCAAACUUGGUCUAGGAAUGUUAUCAUUGAUCCUCUUGCUAAACCACUCUUUGUACUCAAGGGUUGUCGUCGGGCCUUCAGUCAAAAUCUUCACACAACAAAUCUUCUUCCAAGCCUCGAAAAUCUCUCGUAUCUUCUUCUUAUAAUGAUCCCCCUUAUAUGAGAAAUCACUUUGAGUUAACCCUUGUGUUGCGGUAUAAACUGCCCCGCUAUGUACUGCCUUAGGACGAGUAAUGGUGCAUAACCCACAACUCCCCAAAUUCCAGGAAGUGGUACCCAAUCAAAACUUCUGCAACGAUAAAGAAUUUUGCUAGGAGUCAUCCAAGGGGCUUUCCACAUAACAUCUUCUUCUCGGAGGUUCUGAAGUAUUUCUAUCCACCUUUCCUCUAUAAUGUCGUCCUUUUUUGGCGUAGCUGCUGUUUCCCUUAAAGGAGAAUAAUCCUCAAAGAACACUCGGCAAAGAACCCUAUCAACCUUCCAAAAAUGACUAUGGAACCAUACUAACAACAAUUGUGCACAUCCAAUGAAUCUACCUUCACCAGCUCUCCGAUAUGCACUCAAGGAUCUAAACGUCUCAGCUAGGAUUGCAGGCACAGGUGUGUACUGUUUACUAAUUCGAUCGAAUAAAUCUGCAACUGCCUUAUCUAUGUGCCCCAUAGCUUUUGGGAAAAUCACCAAUCCAUACAUACUUAAGGCCAAAACAUCAACCCUCUUCUUUACAUUUGGGUGUGCCAAUAUCAAAUCCCUCAAACUUGCCCACGGAACUCAUUUACUAUCACCCUUUUGUUGGACUCAAUCUGUGGCCCACUGUUCACUCACCUCUGUAAUCAUUAUUAAUUUCUUCACAAAAGUUGGGGGAUUAACAGCCCUAACAUAAGCUUUGUUACCUUGAAUUUUUGGAUAGCGAAGCAAGGUUUUAUACUCCUUUAAAGUAGGUACUAAGUCUACCUCUCCAAAUGUAAAACAACUAUAAGCAGGGUUCCAAAAUUGUACCAUAGCUCGAAACAAAUGCUUAUCCACCUUGAUGUCUAGCAAAUAGGGAAGAUCUCCAUAAUUUUGGUAGAACAGCUGCUUAGCCUCGUUAUCCCAUUGAGCCCAAAUGUCUUUCAACUCCUAAAACUCAUUCUGUGUCGAACUGAUACGAGUGAAGUCCCAUAACUCUGACGUAUACCCUUCAGUGACACUAUCUCUCUUCUCUAACUGGGUUUUCUCUGACCACGCACAGACAGAAGCGUUGUCCUCCACUUUAUCAAGAUAUUCAUUCCUCAUUACAAAACUUUCUAAUCCAGAAAUCGAACCGUGAAUCGAUACCUUUAAAUGUUGAAUGACAUGCAAUGAUAACAAAAUAAAAUAAGUUAGUAUCAUAUAAAAGUAUAAUAAACAAGCACUUAUAAGGGUAGCUUACUAAAGACUAUCACUAUACUCCCUAGGGUAAGCACAUAAAGUUCACUAUAUGAGUUUCAGUUCUAAAGCGAGGGUACCUGAACUAGCAGAUUCCCUGGUCCUCACCCAUUAUAGGCUCAUACGGACCAAGUUCAGUUCAGGGGGACACAUUUCCCUAUGGCCAUACAGAGAUGAAAAUCUCACGAAUACAUAGGUACGGAUGUAUCCCGGAAGCAAUCCACUAGCCCAUAUGGAGGUGAAAACCUCACGAAAGCGUAACUUCUCACUCCCACUUAAAGGUGCGACUACAGCGGUCAUGCAAAUGCAAUGUGUAGAAAACAAAAUAACAAACAUAUGUAGCAAACACAUGUAAAACAAUCAAUAUUUUAAAAUUUUUCCAAACUUCUGACAUUAAGACAGAAAAUAAUCAAUUUCUUAGCUUGACUCUCUUAUUGUCCCCAGUAGAGUCGCCAAGCUGUCGAAACCUCUUUUUUUAAAAGGGGGUAUUUUGAAAACGGGAGUCGCCACCAGCCUUUUUAGGUGUGAUUGGAUCACCUUAUAAAACAUUUUGGUCCACGAAAAUAUGAAAAGAUGGGCUCGGGAGUCGAUUACGUGCAAGGAAGGAUUAGCACCCUUGCAACGCCCAAAAUUGGUACCAAAUUAUUUUUCUGUCUUGAUGUCAAAAAGUUUUAAGGAAUUUAGAAAUAAGAUCCCUUUUUAAGCUAUAAUGAUUUGCUGAAAAUCAAGGUUCUUUAGCUCCAAAAGAGUACAAACAUCACAUCCAGCAAGAUUGGACACGAUAUUCUUAGUCUUUCGAAAUUGAAAUUAUCUCGUGAUUUACAAAAUCUAUUUAGGAGGAUACUUUAGACAUUUAGACAGACGAGAAAUCGCAACCCAGCAUGUUAGGGCACUACUUCCCGAAUUCCUAAAUACCAAAAACAUUGCCUCUCUUUUUUAAAAGUAUUUUGGAUUGAAUAAGAUAUAAAAGUUCUUUAAAGUGAUGAUGCAUUCAACUUAUUACAAAGGAUCAAUAUUAAACAAAUUAACCUACAUGAUACCUACUUUAUCAUUCCAUGCAAAUAUAAAAAUAAUAAAUAAUGACAUAAAUUACACAAUAUACAUUAUCACUUUAUGCAUAUAUAAUUAUAAACAACAUAAAUAUAAACACAUUAUUAUUUCAUGCAAAAAAUACAAAAUAGCAAAAUAAUGAAUAUAACAAUAUAAAUUACACACAUAUAUAAUAGUAUUGCACGUGAAUAUAAUUUUUAAAUAACAACAUAAAUAAUCAAUUCUCAUACGAAUAUAUAAUAAUAAUAAUAAAAUAACAUAAAGAUAACAAAUAAUCUAUGAGAUAAAAUUAACAUGUUAAAACAAUACCUAAUAAAUACAAAAAGGAUAAAAACAAAAUAUAAAAAAAAAGAUAUUUUAAACAAUAUAUAAGUAAUAAAAGAGAAAAAUUUUUAAAAAUAAUAAACAUAUAUUAUAUGAUAUAAGAGCUUAAUAUACUUAUAAAAAUAAUAAUAUGUUAAAUUGGAACAAAAUUUUGUAGUAAAUUUUAAAACAUUAGACAUAAUAUAUAUAAUAACAAUAUAUGUGUUAGUUAUAAUAAUUUACAAAUUUUAAUUUUUAUAUACUAAUAAAUAAUAAAUAAUGAAAUAAUAUAUAAUAAAAGGAAGAUAAUAUAGGGAAUAAAAUAUAAUAAAAUAUGAUAUAUAAUAAAAUAUAUAAAUAAAAUAUAAUGAAAUAUAAAUAAUAUGAUAAAAUAUCAUAUAAAUAAAAAUAAUAUAUACUAUUUUUAUAUAUAAUUAAAAAAUAAAUAAUAAAUUAAAUAUAUAAAAGGGAUUAAAAUUGAAUUUAAUUAAAAAUCUAGGGUUAAUUUACAAAUAAAUAAAAAUUUCAGGCCUAAUUGAAAUGCGCACCAAAAUUUGAGGGACUCACUAGGCAAUUAGCCCUAACCCCAAAAACGACGUCGUACUUAGAACAGGUCUUAUAAUGGCUAUUGGGACCAAAUUGCAAUAAAUGCAAAAGAUUAGGGCCAAAUCGAAAUAAAAAUAAAAUGAAUUUUAAAAACAUAAAAAUGCGGGAGGAUCAAUUGGGCAAUUAGCCCUUUAAACAAAAACGCGCGGAUCCUACCCGGAUCUAGGGUCAACGCGCGGAUCCUAGCUUUAAAACGACGCCGUUUUAAAGCUUAUUGUUUUAAGCAAAAACGACACCGUUUUCAUAAGGCUAUAUAAGCCAAAUUUUAACCUAAAAUUUCAUUUUAAAACCGAUUCUAAAAAAAAUAGAAAAAAAUCUCUGAAGGAGGGUUGGGGUCCGGGCCUCGGAGCUCUGUCGAGCCUCCGUCCUGGGGCUUACACAUGCCUACAUGCUACCGUCAACACCGCCUCUUACGGCGGUCGGAAGCUAGAAAGCUUUGUUUCUUAGAGCAAAUCCCUCGGUAAGUUCCCCUUCUUUAUAUUCUUAGCAAUAUUUAUAUGUAUUCGCAAUGAAAACAAAAAAAAAACAAAGUAAAAGUAAAUCACCACUAUUUCUUGAUUUUUAUUGUAUGUAUGCCUGUUAAAAAACCUCCUAUCCUUGAAAAACUCCUAUAUUUUAUUGUGUAUAUGAAAAUCCGUGUUUACAAAUUAGAAAAAAAAGGGGUUUUUAUAACCCUCUGUUACAUUUUGGGGAAAGAAUCCUUUGAUUUCUUUCCAAGUUUGCUUCUUUUACUGCUGUGGUUCUUUCCUUCUUUUGCAGAUAUCAGCGAGGAUCUCACGGCGAUGAGUGCUGGCAUUGAUUUGUGACUGAUUGCGGUGUGAUACAAGGCUGGAGUCACGGCGCCGGUGAAGACGUUGAUGGAAAGUCACUAGAACGACGCGAAAUGAAAAGGCGCGUCGGUUGGAGUGCUUGUGGAGCCUAGGGUUUUUGAAACCCUAGGUGUAACGCCCCAUACCCAAGACCGUUGCCGGAGUCGAACACGAGGUGUUAACGGACUUAAUUCAUUACUUAAACAGCUCAUACAAUUCAUUUUAAAAUUUCUAGACAAGCUGGCUAACUGCAUCACAGUCGCUUUAAAAAUCAUAUAUCGAGUUCCAAAACUCGAAAUAUAAUUCCGUAAAUUUUUCCUGAAACUAGACUCAUAUAUCUAUCUUCUAAUUUUUUUCUAGAAUUUUUGGUCAGGCCAAUUAGUACAUUUUAUUAGUUAAAGUCUCCCCUAUUUCAGGGUUUGACUACUCUGACCUCUGUGUAUUACGAAUCAGAUAUCUUUCUGUACAGAGCUUCAAUGACUAUGAAGUUUGUCUCUAAUAAAACUAGACUCAAUAAGGAAUCUUAAAAUAUAAAUCAUGACUCUAAUUAUCCUUGUAAAGUUUAUGGUGAAUUUCCAAAGUUAGAACAGGGGAUCCAGAAAUCGCUCUGGCCCUGUUUCACAAAAAUUUAAACAUCUCAUAAAAUAUAACUCAUAUACCUAUUUUGUUCCAUCCAUAUGAAAAUAGACUCAUAAUUCUUCAAUUCCAUAUAUUAUUCAUCAUCUAAUUGUAUCUCUAAUAUUUUUAGUGAUUUUUCAAACUCACGUCACUGCUGCUGAUUGAAUCUAUUUUAUGGUAAAUUUUACCUAUUUCAUGGUUUCCAUGGAUUAGCUAGCAAUUUAGCAUACAUAACACCAAAUAUGAUCAUGAUUAGCCAUUCCAAUGCCUAAUCAUUACCAAGCAUUUCCAUACCACUCAAUAACCAUAUCAUAAGACUAUAUACACAAAAUGAUUAUAAUGCUAUACAUGCCAUACUCAAAAUAUACAAGCCAUUAUGCCAAGAUGGUAUACGGAUAGUGUGAGCGUGCCUGCGACCAUUUCGAAUUUCCGAGCUGGCUUGUCAACACUACAAGGAAUGAAAAGGAGGGAGUAAGCACAAAUUCUUAGUAAGUUCACAUGCAAAUAGCAAGUAACAUAACUAUAUAAGCAAACAUAAAACAACAUUUGCAUAAUCAUCACCGAGACAUUCAUAUCACAUUUUCAUCUAUCAUCUUACCAUAUUGUUGUUAUAUCGAGUUUUCAACCAGAGGGUUAAGUACAUACCUGUUCAAAGUAUCCAUUUCACAACACUUACCAAUACGUCCCUUUCAUCUUGAGUAUUCCUCCAUUUGAGUAGAAUUUUACCCGUUUAACACAUCAGAAUAUAAUUCGGAUACAUGGAAAGUUUGCACAUAAGUGCCACAUAUGUAGCCAAGCUACCAUGUAACCCGCCCAUAAGUGAACUCGGACUCAACUCAACGAGCUCGGGCAUUCGCAUCCAUAAGUGAACUCGGACUCAACUCAACGAGCUCGGAUGCCUAGUUACAUCUCUCGAACUUGGACUCAACUGAACGAGUUCGGAUGCUCAACCAUCCUAGUGACAUGUCACUUCUAUCCUAAUCCAUUCCUAAGGUUCAACGGGACCUUUUUCCCAAUCAUGUGUCCCAACCAUCUUCUACGGAAUGCCGAUACCGAUACUCGGUAGUAUUUCACAUUUUCCAAAUAUAUCACAUAAUUUGACAUAUUAUCAAACAAUUAUCACAAGUAUAAUAUUUCAUAAUAAUUAUCAUAUCAUUUAAAUAACAUUAAAACAUUUAAAAUAAUAACUAUGUUACCAACAUUUACAUAUGAACUUACCUUGUAUGCGAAAAUGGCUACUUUUACCAUUUCGUCCACAACUUGGUAUUUUCCCCAUUUUAGCCUGAAUUUUAGUUUUCCUUGCUCUAUCAUUUAAAAUAUAGUAUAAUUAGGACUCACAUUAUUCAAAUUGACCCAAAAUCAUAUUUUGGCAAAAUUACAGUUUUGCCCCUAAACUUUUGCAUAUUUACACUUUUGCCCCAAAGCUCGUAAAUUAAACUUCAGCCUAUUUUAUUAUGUUUUAUGACAUGCUGAUCAUUUUUCCCUUCUAUGGCAACAUCAAAUUCUCACUCUAACAUGUACUUAUGACUAUUAGGUAUUUUUACCGAUUAAGCCCUUUUGCUAGUUUUCGCUUAAAACCGAGUAGCACAAGUUGUCUAACAUAAUUUAAAACCUCAUAUUCUAUCAUAAAACACCAGAAUACACAAAUUUCACCUAUGGGUAGUUUUCCAAAUAUGAACCCUAGGUUGAAUUAUUGCUAGCAUAAGCUUAAUCGAGCUACCGAGACUCUAAAAACGUAAAAAUCAUUAAAAACGAGGCUAGAACGGACUUACAAUCGAGCUUGGAAGCUUGAAAAACCCUAGCCAUGGUUUCUCCUUGCUAUAUUCGGACAUGGGGUUGAAGAUGAGCAAAAUUGGCUUUUAAUUUUGUAUUUUAAUUCAUUUUACCCCUAAAUGACCAAAAUGCCCUUACUACUAAACUUUCCAAAAAUUCCAUCCAUGUCCAAUUUUUGUCCAUAGACUUAGAAAUUGGUAAAAUUUCUAUUUAAGACCUCCUAAUUAAUAUUUCAAAACAAUUUCAUACUAGAAACUUCUAGAAUGCAAGUUUUACAAAUUAUUCGAUUUAGUCCCUAAUUUCAAUUUAAGUACUUUAUGCAUAAAAUUUCUUCACGAAAUUUUCACACAAUCAUGCAAUCAUAUCAUAGACCUUAAAAUAAUCAUAAAAUAAUUAUUUCUAUCUCAGAUUUUGAGGUCACGAAACCACUAUUCCGACUAGGCCCAAAAUCAGGAUAUUACAACUCUCCCCCCCUUCAGGGAUUUUCGUCCUCGAAAAUCUUACCAGAAAAGUGGUCUUCACUUUUAAUCUCAUAUUCGGUGUCGAAGAAAUUUCACUUAGGCUGUACCUCCAAUACAUCUCUUUAAUUUCUCAUAUGAUCUAAAAGCUUACAGUCUCAACUCUCAACUGUUCUUAAAUUUUCAACCCUUCUCAGUUUCCCAUGAUAUCAUGACAUAAAACUCGGAUCUUAACUUGAUUAAUGGAGACCAGAAUUCUAAGAAAUCCAACAAUUAAAGAGACCUAAAAUUCCAUGAAUCUGAUGAGUAGGAAUUCAUUCAAUACAGAUAUGAUUUAUAGGAUACAUCACAUUUUUCCUCUUUCCGCCAUAGAAAAAAUUCUGAUAUGGCCUCAAGAAUAAUCCUUCUCAUUUCCAUCCCAAUAUCAACACUGACAAGGAUAAUUUUGAUAGAUCCCAAUGUUCGGCUUUAACCCCUUUAACAACUUCAAUUUUAUGUAACAUCGAAUGCUCUAAACUAUCACAUUACCUCACUGUCUUGAAACACAUCACAAUUCAUACAACAGUACAUUACUGAAAGUCAGGAAGUCUUUACUCAAUGUAGACUAGUCUAGUUCAGACGCUUCGGUUACCAAUAUUCUCAUCUAUCCAAACUUUGUCAACAUGUAAUAAACUUUUCAGCUUUCACAAGACAAAAACCUUAUCAUUCGUAGUGAUUUUAACUAAUAUCCAACUCUUUCUAAUAAAUAUACACUUCUCGUUCAGACUAUUUACUCUUUUAUCCGUACAAAAAUGAAAUUAUAUUAUCAGACUUGAAAAAAAAUAAUCCUGACAUAAUUGUCACAUGAAAUCUUUCAAAUAAAUAAUUCACCAUACCGACUGAAACUCGCGCUUUUAUCACCUAUGCCUUUACUGAUGUCAAAUCCUUAUAUAGAAAUUAGAAAAAAAUCCCAAUACUAAAAUCACCACAUUACCAAGAUCAAAUUAGAAGUAUAGUCAUAUUUGACAUGAUUAUCACGAGCUGAAGAACGUACUUCAAACAUGAGUCAUAAUUAACAAAUUAUGGAACAAAGAUAACAAGAAAACCGAAUAAAGAAAUCCAGGAUAAAGAGAUCCAGGAUAAAGAAACCAAAGAUACGAUACUAUGCCGGAGAAUCGAAAACCAAACUCAUAGAGAAAAUACAGAAUACCUCGAUAAUUCUUCAAAGAAAGAAAGUCCAAAAGAAAACAUCAUUUAAUCCCACUGGAAUCAAAUAUAACAAGAACAAUAUAUCUUCCCAUACAUAUAUAUCAGAUGAAGCAUCAAGUAGAAGAAACAGAAUCAUAAUAUCAUAUGUAUUCUCUCAUCAAUUCUUAUCAGACGAAAUGAAAUAGAAUACCCGAUGAAAUAGAGCAAUAUAAAUUAUAAACCAGUCAGACUACCAAUGCUUUCAUCCAACACCAGGAUUAAAAGACAUUCCCAUAUAACAAGAAUUUCUUCAGAAGAUCAAUAGCCAUAGAAAUAUUUCUGAGAACGGGUAAACACAUAGAACAUCUCAAAAGAGACUGCUAAAUCUGUCCAGUCAUAACUGUCACACUCAGAUAGUUCACAUUUCAAAUAUCAUUUCCCCAACUAGUUCUGCCGUCACAAAUUUCAUAUUAAACCAUUCACUAAAGAAUGCCAGUUCUGAAUAAAUUUCAAUUUACACUUUUCUCGACCUUGCACCUGAGUAAUUCGAUUUACCAAAGAGAAUUCCUUCUCUAAUUGGGAUAGUGCAUAACUCCAAUAAUCUUUACGUCAAUCCGAUACUUUACUGGCUCUGACUUUACUUAUCAGCUCAUUUUCAAUCUCUGAUCAUACUUAUAAUUAUUCUAUCACUAAACUCUUUGGGUUCUUAACUGGAAACUUAUUCAAUACAAAUCUCAUGAAAUUUCAUUAUAAGUACCACUUCGGUAAGGGGGGUUGUAGGACCUCUGACUCGACUUUCUUAUACAUACACAUAUGACACAACUUCCAUCAUCAUAGUAACAUCAUCAAAAUCAUGGCAUUCAUUCAUGUUGGUUUACACCAAUUUUCCUAUUGUCCCAUUUAAACAAUAUACUUAUGCAUACAUUCUAUGUUUUCUAGACAGCUUUACUUAUCCAUUCAUUUAAUUAAAUUAAGUCAUGCUCAUGACAUCAUAUAAGACCAAACAAACAUAGAUAUUUGCAUCAUAAUCACAACUUUCAUUUCGUGCAUCAUCAUGUACAUAUCAUUACAAUCAUAUAAUUCAGUCCAACAAUUUAACAUAGAUAAAUUCAUUUAAUUAUAAUCCUUUAUCUCAUAAAAUUAUAUAUCAUUAACAUUUAUCAACAUUCGACGUCCAAAUCAAGACAAGGACAUUUUCACUCGUAUCAUAAUAUUAUGACCUUUAUUCAUACCUCUACAACUUUCUAUUUAUUCCGUUCAUCUUAUCAAGUAAGCCAUAUACACUACAUCAUAUGAGCAUGAAGCAAAUAUGGAUAUUUAUCACAUAUGUAUCAUAAAAUUUUAUACAUACUUUUCUAAAUCGAGACUUAUCAUAAUCAUAAUUUUACUCAAAUACCUUCACAUAAUAUUGAACAUGUUCGGCGCAGCUCGGUUGGAGAGUACCCUGUCUAAAUAAGACGGUACUCAUACGCGUCGGAAGACAUCACACUAUCACAGAUCAGCGGCAUGUAUAGCUAAACUUUUACACAUGCUAGGUUAGUCCAAGAACCGACUAAACUUACUCUGAUACCACUAAAUGUAAUGCCCCGUACCCAAGACCAUUUCCGGAGUCGAACACGAGGUGUUAACAGACUUAAUUCAUUACUUAAACAACUCAUACAAUUCAUUUUAAAAUUUCCAGACAAGCUAGCUAACUGCAUCAUAGUCGCUUUAAAAAUCAUAUAUUGAGUUCCAAAACUCAAANNNNNNNNNNNNNNNNNNNNNNNNNNNNNNNNNNNNNNNNNNNNNNNNNNNNNNNNNNNNNNNNNNNNNNNNNNNNNNNNNNNNNNNNNNNNNNNNNNNNNNNNNNNNNNNNNNNNNNNNNNNNNNNNNNNNNNNNNNNNNNNNNNNNNNNNNNNNNNNNNNNNNNNNNNNNNNNNNNNNNNNNNNNNNNNNNNNNNNNNNNNNNNNNNNNNNNNNNNNNNNNNNNNNNNNNNNNNNNNNNNNNNNNNNNNNNNNNNNNNNNNNNNNNNNNNNNNNNNNNNNNNNNNNNNNNNNNNNNNNNNNNNNNNNNNNNNNNNNNNNNNNNNNNNNNNNNNNNNNNNNNNNNNNNNNNNNNNNNNNNNNNNNNNNNNNNNNNNNNNNNNNNNNNNNNNNNNNNNNNNNNNNNNNNNNNNNNNNNNNNNNNNNNNNNNNNNNNNNNNNNNNNNNNNNNNNNNNNNNNNNNNNNNNNNNNNNNNNNNNNNNNNNNNNNNNNNNNNNNNAUUAAUUGGCUUACUGUUGAAUAUUGGCAAUAUCCCACAUUAGGAAAAGAUAGAAAUGGAGGGGGUUUGGUUUGUUAUAUAUAGAACCCCUCCCCCUUUGGUUGUAUUAUCCCAAAAUCUUCUCCUUUGUAAUAUUUCUAGAAGAAAUAUUGAUUUGGUAGUGUCCGAGGACGUAAGCUAAAUUGGCCGAACCUCGUUAAAUCUCUGGUAUUUUAUUUCUUAUUUGUUUGCUUAUAUUUAAUAGCUUUAUGUUGGUUAUAUUUAUUUAGUUAUUAUUGCUAUAAAUAUCUAAGUGAGUUCUGUCUAGUUGUUGGGUUUUAAGCGGGACCAUUUGUGACCCCUCCAAUUUAACUGGGAAUUUUCUUAGUAUAAUUAUUGGCAUAAUAAUUAUCUAAAUAUUUCUGAUAAUAUUGUUAUUAAUAUUAUCGUCGCUUCCGCAACAAUUGGUAUCAGAGCCAAGGUUUUGUAGUAUGCUCUGUGUUUGCAGCUUAGUCUGAUCUUACACAUCAGAAACAUUUCCGAAAGCUUGUGGGUAUUCCGCAUUUGGUGGCUAUUAAAUAGAAGCUAUGGCAAAAAUGACAGAAGAAAAACCAUCCAUAUCAACAACUUCCACUUCGUACAUUUUGCCGAGGAUUGGAACUGCAAAUACGAGAUUUGUAGUGGAAAUUUUUGAUGGAACAGGUCAUUUCGGCAUGUGGCAAAGUGAGCUUCUAGAUGCCCUCUUUCAACAGGGUCUAGAUAUUGCCAUUGAGGAAGAAAAACCAGAAGGGGUUGAUGAUAAAGAAUGGAAGACCAUCAACCGAUUGGCAUGUGGUACAAUUCGAUCAUGUCUUUCCAGAGAGCAAAAGUAUACAUUCAGUAAAGAGACUUCUGCAAGUAAAUUGUGGAAAGCAUUGGAGGAGAAAUUCUUGAAGAAGAACAGUCAAAAUAAGUUGCAUAUGAAGAAAAGACUGUUUCGUUUCAAUUAUGUUCCUGGUACCACGAUGAACGAGCACAUUACCAAUUUUAAUCAGCUGGUGGCUGAUUUGUUGAAUUUGGAUGUGACUUUUGAAGACGAAGACUUGGCGUUAAUGUUGUUGGGAUCGCUUCCUGAGGAGUUUGAGUACCUUGAAACUACUCUACUUCAUGGAAAAUCGGAAGUAACUUUCAAUGAAGUAACUGCUGCAUUGUAUAGCUAUGAACUACGCCGAAAGGAUAAGUUGAAAGGUUCAGGUGAAGCAGCAGUGGAAGCAUUGGUAACAAGAGGUCGUCAGCAAAGUCAGUCUAAGGGGAAGAGAAGAAAGUCCAAAGGUCGAGCUGUUGCCAAAGAUGAAUGUUCUUUUUGCAAAGAAAAAGGACAUUGGAAGAAAGAUUGUCCAAAAUUGAAGAAAAAAGGGAAGACUCCGCAAGAUGCAAAUGUUGCAGAAUGCAAUAGUGAAGCAGAGUCAGACUUUUGUCUUAGUAUGACAUCUUCAACAUUAUAUGCAGAUGAGUGGAUCAUGGAUUCUGGUUGUUCCUAUCAUAUGUGUCCCAUUCGGGAAUGGUUCUUUGAAUUUCAAAAACUAGAUGAAGGGGUUGUUUACAUGGGUAAUGAUAACACAUGUAAAAUAGCCGGGAUAGGUUCAAUUAAACUGAGGAGUCAUGAUGGAUCUACUAGAAUUUUGCGGGAUGUACGAUAUGUCCCAAAGUUGAAGAAGAAUCUCAUCUCUUUGGGGUCGUUAGAAUCUAAAGGCCUAGUUGUGACAAUACGAGAUGGAGUUCUUAAAGCAACUUCAGGAGCAUUGGUGAUGUUGAAAGGCAUAAGAAAGAACAAUCUGUAUUACUACCAAGGUAGUACAGUGGUCGGGACAACAGCAGCAGCAAUUACGAGUACCAAGAAGGACGCUGAGGCAACACAGCUGUGGCAUAUGCGUUUGGGCCAUGCUGGUGAAAAAUCCUUGCAAACUCUAGCCAAGCAAGGAUUAUUGAAAGGUACAAAGACUUGCAAACUUGAAUUUUGCGAGCAUUGUGUUCUGGGAAAACAACGAAGGGUGAAAUUUGGCACUGGGAUUCACAAUACUAAAGGUAUUCUGGAUUAUGUGCAUUCUGAUGUAUGGGGACCGUCCAAGACUCCAUCACUUGGAGGAAGACGUUAUUUUGUCACCUUUAUUGAUGAUUUUUCCAGACGAGUUUGGGUGUUCCCUAUGAAGAACAAAGAUGAGGUGCUUGAAGUUUUCCUUAAGUGGAAAACUAAAGUUGAAAAUCAGACAGGAAGGAAGAUUAAGGUUCUCCGAUCAGACAACGGUGGAGAAUAUAAAAGCGAUCCUUUCCUGAAGAUAUGCCAAGAUUGUGGCAUAGUAAGGCACUUCACCGUAGGUGGAACACCGCAACAGAAUGGGGUGGCAGAGCGUAUGAAUCGAACGCUUGUGGAGAAAGUUCGAUGUAUGUUAUCUAAUGCUGGAUUAGAUAGAAAGUUUUGGACUGAGGCUGUGACGUACGCUCAACAUCUCAUCAAUCAUUUGCCAUCAUCUGCUAUAAAUGGCAAGACUCCUUUGGAGAAAUGGUAUGGAAAACCUGCUACUGAUUAUGACACCUUGCGCAUUUUUGGUUCUAUUGCAUAUUAUCAUGUGAAAGAAUCAAAGUUAGAUCCAAGAGCAAAGAAGGCUCUAUUCAUGGGCUUCAAUGCUGGUGUUAAGGGAUAUCGUUUGUGGUGUCUAGAGGCAAAGAAGACGAUAAUCAGUAGGGAUGUUACCUUUCAUGAAUCUGCCAUGUUGAAUAAGGUAAAUCCAGAAGGAGUGAGUAGUACUUCGCAGCAGGUGGAGUGUACUCCGCAGCAGGUGGAGUUUGAGCAGAGUGUGGUAAUUCCAGCAAAAGGUACCACUAGUGAUUCUUCAUUGGCAGAUGCAGAGUCAGAUGAGGAAGAGGUUUCUACCCAAGAACCUCAACAGCAAUCAGAGCCAAUUGCAGUCAGAAGGCAGAGACGAGAAAUUCAGAAACCUGCUCGUUUCACUGACACGGUAGCUUAUGCACUUCCAGUUGUUGAUAAUAUUCCAUCCACUUACACCGAAGCCAUUCAGAGUUUAGAGAAUAAUAGAUGGUUAGGUGCAAUGGAAGAGGAAAUGCAAUCUCUAGAGAAAAACAAGAUGUGGAAGCUGGCACAACUACCAAAAGGGAAGAAGGCGAUUGGUUGCAAAAUUGAAGACACUAUUGAAGUUUGUGUUAUGAGAAGAUGUUCGAAGAUGUGGAAUAUCGCCAAGGUGGAGAUUUGUUGAAUAUUGGCAAUAUCCCACAUUAGGAAAAGAUAGAAAUGGAGGGGGUUUGGUUUGUUAUAUAUAGAACCCCUCCCCCUUUGGUUGUAUUAUCCCAAAAUCUUCUCCUUUGUAAUAUUUCUAGAAGAAAUAUUGAUUUGGUAGUGUCCGAGGACGUAAGCUAAAUUGGCCGAACCUCGUUAAAUCUCUGGUAUUUUAUUUCUUAUUUGUUUGCUUAUAUUUAAUAGCUUUAUGUUGGUUAUAUUUAUUUAGUUAUUAUUGCUAUAAAUAUCUAAGUGAGUUCUGUCUAGUUGUUGGGUUUUAAGCGGGACCAUUUGUGACCCCUCCAAUUUAACUGGGAAUUUUCUUAGUAUAAUUAUUGGCAUAAUAAUUAUCUAAAUAUUUCUGAUAAUAUUGUUAUUAAUAUUAUCGUCGCUUCCGCAACACU